rnacentral:lncRNA from 1 species
CAAGAUAGGACUGUGUGUUAAAUCUGCAAGAGAUGCUAUGCUCUAUCCGCAAAGAUACCCACAUGUAAACAAACUCAUUGAAGCCACUUAUGGGAUUCUACAAAAACUAUCUUUAUUGUCCUGGGAGCACUCUUAUCCUUCUGGAAUUAAUAGAGCAGCGAUGGAGAUAGCGGCCAGUGUUAUGUUACCACUGAUAGUCCUCAAUGGCUCUGUCACCUUCUUUCCAGCGAGGCGAGUGGCUAGAAAAGUCCACUUUUCUAAGGCAGUAUUUCAUUAAUAACCACCUCCUCGAGCUCGGUGGUGUUUCUUAUUGAUACGUAGCUAUGGCCUAUUCAUAUGUUUAUUGUUCUAUCUUCCUCCACAAGUGUUGGAAAAAAAAAGCAUCAUUUCCAUUGAUCACCCCUACAGUUUUUAAGAAGAUUUUGCGACAACCUUUAGGGGAUUUGUGCAAAUUUUGGCAUCGCCGUGAACUUUAUCUAGUUACCAUUAUAAGAUUCCAGAUUAUCUCAACAAACUAGUUUGACACUAACACGAACUGAAAGCACAACAAACAAACCAACAAGUACAAUGGAUGGAAGGUAGCUUGUGAAACUAAAGAUGCAUGGAACGACCGCUACAACAUUAAUUGAGUAUCAAAACUGUUUGGUUCUACAGUCCUUCGUUUACUUGCUCAUAUUUUGGAUCUGUUUCUUGUACGAGCUAAAUUUCUCUUUUUUUCUCCUUCUCCAUACGCUUUCGUUUGGCAUUCUUCUCCUCAGUGAGUUCGCUUUGAGCGCAUGUGUUCUGUUCCUUCCCCUCAGUGAAUCUAGGCCUUUUGUGUUCCAGUCUGUUCUCCUCAUUGACUUCACUUCGAGGCCUUUUGUUAUCCAGAUUGCUUUCUCCUUUGUUUGCUUGCUGCUCAUUCUUCGCUCUCUCCCUUCUGUUAGCCUUAUAUCUCCCUCUUUUCUCCUUUUCCUUACGCUUUCUGAUUGCUGUCUUCUCCUCCUCGGUGACUUCACUUUGAUGGAUUCUGUUUUUCUUCAACGCUAAUUCACUCUGAGGGUGUUUCCUCUGCACCGCACUCCCUCGGGGUGAUGGGACAUUUCUCGACACCUGAUUGUUGUGGAAUAUAGUAUUCGGACACAAUGCUGGUUCGGAGUUGAUGUGCGUAUUAUCCGGUUGGGAACUUAUCGUCUGUAACACAAGUCUGUGCGCUGCCUUCCUAAGCCUAACCCCCGAAAUGGAUCCUUUUGGGUUGUACCUGCAGACAGUGAGAAAACAGAUUUAACACAAAAACGGUCUUCCAAAUCUUUGGAUACCACAAAAAAAUUCAUAAUCUUCACCUCUUGAUUUUUAUAAUCUUUGCAGGAGCUCGUCUUCGAUCACCAUCUUCAUGCCAUAGAUUAGCUCCACCUUUCAAAUCCGCUAGUUGUACAGUCUGUGAUGUGAUCGCGAUAAAUAAAGAACACUCUGUAACCACUAAGUCGCAAAAAACAAGUAGGCCAUGUUUUUGGCAGGCUUUCUUUAUUUUUCACCACAACGUCAAACAUAAAAUCAGAAGCCAAGUAGAUGAAAAUAGUAAUGAUCAACUAUACCUUUUUAGGCAACACCACUCCUGGAGGUGGACGAGCAAUGUCGCUUCCUCUAAGAUCAUCUGGAAGUUUGUAUAUGGCACAACUGUACAAAAAAAGUGUUGAUUUGAUAUAUAACUCGGGAGGCCUAAAAAUGACAAAACCGAAAUUCGUGAUAAAAGGGGGCUUACAUCACUUGAUUGGCUAAUACAUCUUCCAUCCCCUCGAUGGGGGAGCUGAAGCAUGAAGGCUGACUAUCUCCACCACAUAAAGCCAAGUAACCAUUCAUCCCUUCACUGCAGUUCUCAAUAAAUUAGCCCCCUUUUUUUAUAACAAAACUAGGAACAAAAAAUCAAAUCACUAACUUAACCCCUACAAUUAUUACCAACCGAAUCAACCAUUCUCAAGAUCUAUACACAAACCUUAGUCCAGGGUCAAUUUUUUCCGUAACUGCUGCUCGUUCUUUGUUGCUCAAUUUAAUAGUACGGCUACUAAGAGAACGGAUGAGCUCAGCAAGCGGAUGAGAUGAAACCACAAAGAGCAUGUCAGACAGCACACUGUUUCUUCGAACUUCUUCGUUCUGAAAAAAUUAAAUACAAUGAAAUCAAAGUUUCAUGUGAUUCGUAUACAGAAAUAAACACGAUAAAGUUAAUAUCUAUGCAUGAGCCAGGCUGUACCGUCAGUGAGUGCUCCACUUUUGCGGCUGCAUCCAGAAGACGCUGUUCUUCUAUAAAAGGCAGUUUUGCUAUACCCUUUACAAGGAAAGAUAGAAAAUAUGCAUUAUUACAUCUAACUUUAGAAAUAGUGUCUGCCUUAAUAAGCUUAAAAGACGAUCAAACCUGCCAAGAAUAGCGCUUUCCAUUCAUGUCAAUCUCAAAAUCUGCACACCGAAAAAAAAAGGAAAAUGAGAGACAUGGAUUGGACAAUACCACAAUGAACAAGACUAAUUCUGCAGAAAAAAAACACAUACCGGGAGGAUAAAACUCAGCUAUAGGUGAACUUGGAUCUGUCAUCAGUUUCCUAAAACAUUCUGGGAGAGCAUGUGCACUGACAUAGGAAUCUAGUGAGGCAACCAGUGACGGCAGGCAGAGAAAGAUGAUGAACACUUAGAAAUACAGAUAGAAUUACCUUGCAGAUGGAAGAACUGCCAGAAGCUGAUUGAAUGGUUUAAAUGGGGAACCUAGUUCGAACUUAAUAUCUAGCUUAUCAAGGAACUUGAGAUCAGAUGCGAAAGGUGCAUAAUGAUAAGGAUAAAACCUGCAAAACAAACAAUAGGGAGUAAGGCAAAGUAGGAAUCAGUUGGCUCAUUUCUGCUAAAGUUGCUAUUAAUUACUAGGGCCAUCUUGCCUCUAGGACAAAGUUAUUGUGGAAUUAAAUCAUGUUCCUACCCGAUGUAAGCAAAACUUGAAACAUCUCAGCUGAAAAUACUAGAGAUUAUGUUUAAGUAGAAGAUGGAUGGAAACAAUAUGAAGCCCGGAAAACAUUGUAUAUUGAACAGUCUACUAAAACUUGAAGCAUGAUGCGAACGAGCAUUACAAUCCUAAAACAAUAUAUUGUUUAUCUAGGCGCAAUAAUAUUACAAGAAACGAACAGGGAAAAUAGUGAAAUAUGAAAAGUAUAUUAUAUAUGUACGAGGAUGACAGGAAACUGACCAAUUCCAUGAACAAACACCAUGAUAAUAGUAAUGCAUUAUCCAACAAAGACCUUCUGUAUACUUCAAAACCUGGCCAAUAAUAACAAAACAGUAAAUUUGUGCAUUCAAAGUUGACGUAAGCGUAAUUUAUAUACCAUCAAAUUACAGGCAUGAGGAAACUCACAACAUCUCUGCGUAUUUGUUUCAUUUCCUCUAUAGUCUUAGCUAUGAACUUCUCCUCGUAGUAUCUCUCCCUCCAUCCUUGUACACCUAGCCUCACCUGAUCAUACAACAGCCAUGUCAAAUAGCCAGCGUAAUUAAACAGAUGUGAAAAACAAGCUCACGAAAUUUAAGCAUUUAUGCAGCUGAAAAAAUGACCUUAUCUUCUUCGCCUUUCCCUGAAAUGAACCCAUCUGAUUUUUCCCGCAAAAGUUUCUUAAGCUUAAACUUCAAUUCUUCUCUGUUAUCUACUUCCUGAAAAUCCAGAGUGUAUUUAAUACAAUUCAAACGAAAAAGUAAAGAUGAAGUCCCUAAUUAUCACCAAGCAAAAAAAACAGCAUAACUUGACAAUUUCCCAAAACUUGAAAUGGAGAAAGAGAAAAUAGUUUACACUUAACAAACAAAGGUUAUAAUCAAUCACACAAAUCAACUACAAUCCAACCAAAAGGCACAAAGAUAGAAGAAUAUUCUGUCGAGAAACUAAAAGUUUAUUGAAAUUCAUAAUCCGGUGACUUACUUCUUGGAUGUUAUACUCUGUUUCCACACUAGUGUUAUCGUCAAGAGACGGACGCAAUGAAUCGGACACUUCAACUAGAGAAUCUAGUUGCACAACCGGGUCAUAGUUACAAUUUCUGCUCGAUUUAGCUCGGUCACGACUAAACCUUUCCGAUUGCCUCUGUAACAGAUAUCACAAUAACUGCAUCAUUGAAAUACUAAACCAUGCAAAUUUAUCAGAAUCAUGUUUUCUAAGCUUUCAUUUUUGGUGGAUGAUCAAAGGGGUGUAGUACAAGGUAGUGCAGAGAAGUUAUUAACCCAUGCAGAGAGAGGCCAAUGGCACGUUUUCAGAAAGAAAACAGCUGGAUACACUACCUUAUUAUUAAAAAAUACAAUUUCUCUCCACAACAGGCGUGUAAUACUAGGUAGCGAUGCAAAAUGGCAGUAUUUUAAGACAGGGUUACUAGCGUUUCAAAACAUUCACUUCGUUUAAGCAUUUGCUUAAGGUUAUCUUAAGCAAGUCCUCUGAACAAGUACAUUCACUGGCCUCGAAGUGCACAGCGAUAUUUCUAAUCGUAUAGCUUCCAUCAGGAUAUGAUACCUUAGAAUGAAAGAAAAUGCGGAUAACUAAAUUAUAGAAAGAGAUUAACCUGAUGGUUUUGUGCUCUUCUUUGAAAUAUAUUAUUUUCAUAGAGCCCAACGGCCUGGAUAAAAUGCUCCACAUUCUUUAAAUUCAGCUGAAAGUUGGAAUAAGAAAGUUUUAAAAGAUAAUUCGAUAGCCACAUCAAGUAGGAUGAAAAAUGUUUAAGCAAUGCACCUUGCUUCCAUUGCUUAAGUAACUUGUACUUGAUCCAAAUUCCUUCUUGUACACGGACAUAAGUAAUUCUAUAGCACCCUGCAAGACAGAAAAUUUAUUGACACAUCAAUUAUAGACUUUCAAACUUGUCAAGCUGUUCUAAGCAGGCUCAUCGUCGUUCAUUGACCCAUAAAUUAUAUUGAAAGAAAGACUGAGUAAAAAUAUGUACUAAGCUAUAUUCCAUUCCAACCAUAAAUGAAGACUUGUAUAAGGAUUUCUUAUGGAUUGAUUUAUAGCUACAGAAGCUUAUAUAUCUAAUCAUUCCUAUUUUUCAGCAGAUAUCGAGAAUUAGCAAGGGUGAUAUAUGAUCGAUCGAUCAUACACUGUACCCGACAUUUUAAAACCUGGACCACAAUUAUAACAACAGAAAGCUAAGACAAAACAAACCUCCCGUAUCUCCAGUGUAGGCAUAUGUGGCAGGAAAUCAUUGCCAACAAAAAAACAGAUAAAGAUGAAGUCAUCAAUUAUGCGGUCCAAAUUUUUUUGCAAUUGCGAGUUAGGUAUCUGCAUGUCGUGCUCCAAAUACUCUCGAAGCGUCCAGAUAUUGACGAACUGCCAAAAGACAAGGGAACAUAAUGAUAAUGCUAAAGAUAUUAAUGAGCAAUUUUGAAAAAUAGUAUUGAAGUGUGUAACCUUUAAACAUACCUGGUAUGGCUUCUUAGCCACAACAUCUGACUCAGCUUUAUCAGACAAAUCUCCUGUCUUCCCCUCACAAUCUGCAGCUCGGUGCCCGAGCUGACCGCACAAGAAGCAUUUGUCUUGUUGUCCAGGAGUGAAAACAACCUAGGUGAAGUCAAAACACAGUUAAAUUGGCAUUUUAUAGUGAAUCUUGAAACAUAAAAGACUCGGAUACAAAUUUGUGACUAGUUCAGAUGUUAAUUACUUGUCAAAACAAUACUGAAGAUUAUAAACAGAUAGAUUGGUAAAACAACCUCACGAAGGAUUGAAAUAUGAACUUCGUGUGUGGCCAAAGCCAGCAUAAUCAAGUCGGCGUCCUGUUAUUCACAAAAUCAAAAGAAGAAAGGCCUUAAAUAAAUAAUUCGAUAAAGAUACCAAAUCUAAACAUGAAGAAAAUAAAUAAGAGGAGGAGGUUACAUACCAAACCAUACAGACAAUGACAGGCGUUGGGGUUGUAACCAGGAUGGUUCUUUUGAAGACGAAUGUAAGACAUGAUCUUGUGUUCCCCCUCACCAGGAACAUUAGCAUCUGAGAGGAUAACCUUGAGAAGAAGAAAAGCAAGGUCAAAGCGUGAACAAAAUAGGCAUAAGGAAAAAGAAAAGCAGCGGUACCACCUUAAUAUUUUUCCAGCCAGGGUCAGAGUUAAGUCUAACGUGAAUGUAGUAUUGCAAGGCAAAGGAAAGAGUAGACAUGAACUCGGUUCCAGGAGUGAUAACAUUAGAGUCAAAAACUUGAGAGUCCAGUUUAGGAGGCAACCUCUUGCCUUCACUCUCAAACUCUUGACGCAGUCGCUCUUCUUCAGCAGCCUAAGAAAAAGGCAGGUGAGCAUAAAUGAUGAUGGUAAGCAACCUACAGAGAGAGAGAGAUGGGAACAUACGGCCUCUGCUGCAUCUUUUGCAGCUCGAAACCUUCUGGAUCUUUGUUGAUUCAUCUUAGCCCUUGGAGCAACACCAUCUACAAAACAAAAAAGAAAGUUAAAAAGAGAAGAAAACAAAAAAAAAACAAGUCUAGUAUCAUAAAUAGACUCACCAAUAGCCAAAAACAAUAGCUUGCGAGGUCGAACCAUGAGGAAAAGUCUGUCAAUGUAAUCGAACAUGCAUUGAAACACCUCCGAAAACGUUGUUGGAGAAGCCUGACGAAAAGAGAGAUCCCAUGAAUGAAUGAAUGAAUGAAUUGAGAGCAAAAGGAGAAGAAGAAAGCGUUACCCUGUCUUCAGGAUGGAAACAAGGAUGAAUGAUUCCGUUCAUGUCGAGGUACAGAUUGUCAUACUCGACGCCGCCGUUAGGAUUAGGUUUGCUAGUGUCGACCGGAACCUUGACGUCGAGAGCUUCUUCUUCGAUGGCAUCUUGCAAAAUCAGUGGAUACCUCUCAAUUAACCAUCUGUAGAACGACGGUACUCCCAUCGGAUAAUAAUAAUAUCCUUUAUGUCUUGCGUUGCGUUGCGGCACUAGUAGUAGUGAACAGCUACGGAGGAGCUCCUUAGGUCACGCAGGGAUACAUCGACCGUCUGAGAGAACAAAAAACAAAUAUAUAUAUAUAUAUAUAUAUUUAACUUAUUACAAUGGACAUUUGUUAAUAAUAGCACAUUUUUAGUUUUUAAUAUUCUUGAUUUAAAAUUAAAUAAACAAACAUAAAUAAAUAAAAUAAAAAUUGUUAUUAAAACAUAAAACAUAAAACAAUUUUACAAAUUUUAUGUUUUAGUAGCAACUGUAUGUUUUAAUAACAAUUUUACAAAAAAAAAUUUAAUAACAAUUUCUGUUAUUGAUAUUAUAUAACAAUUUUAUGUUUUACUUUUGCCUUAUUGUAGAUUUAAAGUUUAAUUUUAUCAUUCACAUUAGGCAUUUAACUACUUAAGGAUUUUAAAUCUGGAUAUAUUUUAUUAUAUGUAAUAACUCUUAAUUUGUUACAAAAAUUAUUACAUAUUUUUUUGUAUGUGAAAUAAAAAUAAAAAUAAAAAAAAACUACGGAAACGUAUUUUUCUAUUUUUUUCUAAAACAUAAAAUAUUUGUUAUAUUUUACGAUAGCUAAUAUAUUAUUUUCAAUAGCUAAUAUAUUAUUAUAUACAAAAUUAAUUAAUUUAUUAACCUUAAUAACCUAGUGAUCCGGUAAGUUGUCCGGUUCACUGUUUGGGUUGGGUUUCAAAACACUGGACCCAACAUGUACUUUAGUAUGGAUCCAGACGCAGACCCAAACCUGUAUUUUCAGAUCCGUUGGAUCCGGGUAAAAUGUUCAGGCCUAUUGGAUCCUCUCUCGACAGUUUGAAUCAGCAUUAAAUUGCAGGUUGAAGACACAAUUCUUAAGGUAACAGAUUCUACAGAGGCUUUUCCAGAUAAAUAUUCAACAAACUCUUCUUCAGAAUUUGGGAGACAGCAAAGGCAAAUAAUUGAGCUUUGGGCUUUAUGCAAUGUACCAUUGGUUCACAGAACUACUUCUUAUUGCUCUUCAAAAGUGAUCCAUCUGACUAUGUUUAUAUGGAAGUUGAAUUCAGAAGGCUAUCUUUCCUGAAGCAGACAAUAGCUAAUGACGCGGAAACAUUACGGUGUUUUUCAAGCACACCUUCUCAUCAAGUCGCAUCAAAUAUCAACCAUAAACCAAUAAGUAUUAUGCUAACCAGUUCCUGUGGUAUCUAAUCAGGAUAAGUAACUCUCUUGACAUAAUAUGUACCUGACUGAAAAAGAAACUUGAAUUGUAGCACUUAUAUAUUAUAACAUAGACCAGGUAUUGGGGAGUGACAAGAACCUGAAUAUUUCCGAGUUCAUUUAUUGAACACUAACUUAGCAGGAGAAUAUACAAACAAAGAGAAAACCGGAAGUUUAGACAUGCUACAUAUGAACACCAUAUUAUGAUGCAAGAACAGAGCCUUCAGUGAUUUUCCAUCCUCCUGACUUGGACCAGAAAGCUUCGUAUCUUGUUGUGUAGGUUCUGACAUCUGUAGCAUUGUUUUCUGGAUGAACCAAAUCAGAUAGACAAGCAGACUCCUCCAGAGUUGCUUCAACCAGAGCACGAGUUCCGUCAGCUGAGACAGUCACGCUGUCAACGGAGAGUUUCAACAGUGUAUAAUCAUACACCAACCCGAGCUGCUUAGUUUCAGAUGCUCUGUCUGUCCAGAUCUUCAGCAUUCUCCCAUCCAAAACCUAUAAAAUUACCAGACAGAUCGUUGCCAACAUUACAAUCAGGUUUAUUAACACAAUCGAGUGAAUUGUAACUUUAUUCCCUUACCUCUGGCAACAUUUCUAUGCAGUGAUCACGCCCAAAGGCCUGAGACUUGAUCUUCUGCCACUUGCUCACUAGACUCUCCGCAGUCCUAGCAUCCAUCCUGGGAAGCGCUACCGAAUCCUCAGAUUUAACUGACCCUAAGUCAGAAAAAAAGAUUAUCCGAAGGAAAUAAAGUUUUGAACAAAACAUAGUAGAACAAUUUGCUACAUACGUUAUCCUAAAGAGAAAUGUUAAAUACACUGCACUACAGCUCCAACUCUUGUCUACAGUUUGAUCAAAACAUUCAAGCAGCAUAUGUACAUGUUGUGAGUGAAAUCUACUCAGCAACUAGUUAACCUCAGUUCUAAAUACUCAGGAUAUCUUUUGGGGCAUGUAUCAAGUAAACGAUCUACUUUCAUUCCUGUUAAUAUCUACUUUUGAGCAAUAAGCUUGUAUAAAAUUGGCAUCCUUUGAUCAUAUACCUAUGGUAGCAAUUUCAGAUGCCGUAGAGGAAGUCAUAUCCUUGCGUUGCAACGAUGAGCUGCCUUUAAGAGACAUAUACCUCAGGCUGGCCAGCGAAAUGAUUCCAACAACAACACCGGCAGAGAGAAUCUUUACACUUGCCUCCUUUAGCUUAUCAGCAUUGGACUGUUCUACAGUAAUUGCAUCGACGCUAGACUUUGUAUCAAAGAUUUCGGAUGGUCCUUCAGUUGCUGCACUUAACACAGCAGUCUCAUCAUCAGCAUCAUCAUGUCCUACAUUGUUGUUACCAGCACGAUCUACAGUAGACACCGUCUCUUGCGCAUCUGAAUAACGAGAAGGAAAAACUUUCUGCAGUGCCUGUAUAGCACUAGCCUUCACAUGCUCAGCUCCCAUCCUUGCCAUAGCUGCAGCAGCUGCUAAAGGAGAGCCCUGAACAACCUCCACUCUUUCCAGGUAACUCAAAACCAUGGGAUCAUCAUAAUAAUCCCCAAGUUUAAAUUGUUUAUCUUUGGUAUCUCUGAACCUAGGAAAGACAACCCCUGCCAACCAGGUCUCCAAUAGUUUGCAGAGCCCAGGGAGGUCGUCACGAUUUGAAUUCUCCAAGACAAACUCAACAAUAGCUGGAUUCCUGUACUGUGAGUCCUCACUGUCUAACCCCAACCACAUACGGCAUUCGUCGACUUUGCCUAUAAGCAGUGCACAGAGUCCCCUCUCGAGACCAAAGUCAACCUCCCAAUUAUUUCUCGAGUCAUACAGCAUCGCAGGAAUCUCCAUAGCCAUUACCUUAGCCUGCUGAAGUUGCUGGAAUUGCUUAUCAGCGUCCUGUAAGAGGUGGGGUUUCUUAGCUAUAAAAGCUUGAGCCACAAGCGCCAGCGCAACUUCGUAAACUUCAAAAGACUCUGCUGGAAUAUUACUCGGGGUAGCUACAAAAAGAUCAACCUAUGACACACAGAGAGCAGAGAUUAGAAUGGGGGAAACGAAUGCGAAAAUCAUGAUUUAAAAAAAAAAAAAGAAAAGAAAAGAAAGGGCUUCAGACUUGCUCAGAUGCUGUCAUUCGUAAAAACGCCUCGUUCAUAAAUUUCUCGCGUGUAAGACCACCAACAACAGCUGAUGCUCCACCUCCUCCAACAGACCACAAGAUAUUGCGAACACCGCUUAAACCAGCUAGGCGUUUAUCAUCCCCAAGAGGUAAAGCAAGAAGCUCCAAUACAUAACGGGGAGUGAUCUCUUCCAAAGUCUCAUCAAUCUGGGAACGUAGAUCAGGAGCAAGGCUGCUGGCUCCUUCCUCCUGCAAAAGCUUAAGAGCUUCCUCAACGAACUCAUAUCCAGUAAUAAAAUCAGGAGGAUGUAACGCCAUUGCAUCCCUGGAGAUGUCAAGAAAGGCAAGCGCCAUAACCAAAACCACAUCUUGCUUGAAGGACUUAGGCAACCUCUCCUUAAGCAAGGCUUCUCCUACACGAAGAACCACUUCAGUCUCACCAGCUUCUUGCAGCACACAGAGAGCACCAGGAACCUUCAUGUAUUUAAAUUAAAAAAUUCAAAAAAUCAAAAAAUCUUUUGUUUUGAGAAAAGAAAGCAAAAUCGAAAUGACCUUAUCCCAAGGAACAUCAGUGAAGACUGUAGCAGCCUCGUCAUCAACAAGGCUUUCGUCGUACUCUCUUCUAGACCGAGGAUUCGAGAGCGUCUCGCAAGCAGCUUGGAGGAUCUGUCUUCUGCUGAUUAAAGCGUCGUCACUGAACCCGAACUGAGGCGGUUUUGAAACCCUAGCUUCAAAUGCUCUUCUGAUUCCAUCAGUUAAGAAAUGCGUCUCCGCUCCCAAAACCUCGUAGAAGUCGAUGGGAAUGGCAACGUGGCGCUCGGGACGGUCAAUAGACGGUGGCGGAGAGACCAAAGUGGCCGUGGAGGCGGAGGAGGAGGAGGAGGAAUCGGUGGUGAAAUUGAAGUCGGGGAGAAGACGGUCGGCCCAUCGGCUGGCGGAACAGACAGUGGUUAUGACCGGAGAGGAGGGUAGGCUACGCCGGAGUUUGGUCGCCGGAGGUAGUCGGCAAAUCUGAAACGGGAAGAGGCCAAUGCCGAGGUGACGACCUAGAGCUUCCAUUCCACUUUUGUUGCGGAUGUGAAAAUCCCUUCUUUUUCCUUUUCUUCGUAUUAUCCAUCCACUUAAGCCUUGGUCCUCUAGGGUUUAUGUUUUUUCUUUUCUUUUUUCUUUUUUUUUUGGUUUUGAGAGGUAAAAAAAUCAAAUACAUUUAUAUAACAUAGCAUACUAUUUAAGUUAAAAUGUCGAAUAAAACAAAAUAAUAAAAAGCAAUAAAAAUGCCUGCUCGUGUGCUUUUUUAACUUUUAUAUUGUUCAAAUUUUUUAUACAUGAUUGAUUUGAUGAUUGUAUAUAUUUUAACCACUUAACAAUAUUUUAAUGUAAUUUUAGUUGUUCAUUGUUCUUUGAGCAACUUGAUUGUUGAGGUGUAUGAACCCAAAACAAUCAAUAAACUCUCAAAUUAACUGGUGCUUCAAAUCAAGAACGAGAGAAAAGAGUUUCUUGAAUCUAAUCAACCCACAAAACUACCCAGCAACUUGUUCAGAGGAAGCUAGUAGCUGGCCGAACCCCUACCCUUCACCAUCAAGCCAUAACCAAACAAAUCUGUCAUCAUCAACCCUAAUCUAGAUCCAACAAAGUUCAAGAGUGGAAAAGUCUUGGGAAAAAAUCAUUAUAUUAUGUUUGUGUUUGUUAUAAUUCACUUAUCCGAAAGAUCAGGACCCGAACGGAUCUUAAUCCGAACUUCGAAUAUCCAAAGUCCCAGCCCUACUCCUGUCUUUGGUUCCUCUUUUACACAUUCCAUAUUUGUAAAAGUGCUUUUUGUUGAUCAAUAAAUUUCAAAUUUCAACGAGAAAAUAUAACAAACAUUUUAAGAGAGAAAAAGAGCUCAGUUUAGGGACUCUAAUGUUGGAGCAGAGCUUCGUUACAAUAUUUUUUGAAGUUGACAGCUUCAUCGGUUAGGAAGUCACUGCAUAAAGUAAAAAAAGCUUUGUUGAAUGUUAAACAAGGAGAAUCAGUAAAAUGUGACAUGUACGCGAGACUCACCACAAUCGUUCAGCCAUGCGCCCCACUUCCCACCUUGGACUCCAUGGGUAAUCGGUGAGGAGGUUUAAUUUGACCGGCUCGCUCAAUUGGUUUAAAUGCUGCAUAUUUAAAAAAUUAUCCAUUCAUUAUACCUAAGGAAAAAAAAGAAACCCAACGACUUUCGUUUAGCUCGUUUCCAGAUUGUUUCUCAUACCUGGCAACUUUGGAGCAUUAGAGCUGGUUGCUGCUUUGGAAAUUGAGUUGGAAAGAAGAAGUGAACCUACAUCAAACGAUAAAGCUUUGAUAAACUCAAGUGAAUCAAAAUCUACUUUGUAUUGAAAGCCCUGAGGAGUGAUAGACUUACCACGAAUGGAAAUGGUCCCGAGGCAGCAAGGAACGAUGCCUUACGGCAAAAGGUCUAGCAAGAAAACACAAUAAUAAUAAUAAUAAUAAGAGAAUCUCGGAAAUCAAUUUAAACACAUGCCAAGAAAUAUUACUUACAGGAUCCGCUUCAAGAGGUCUUCCAAGAAAAAGAGCCAGUGCCUCAACAAAACUCCUCCUUAAAACAAUUGCAGAAACAGCUUCCAGGAUCUAGAAAGUAAAACUUGAUAAGACCUUGAUACCAAGAAAAUUACACACAUAUUUUUAUGUGAAGAAGAUUUAAUAGGAACUGACUUGUCUCUCAAGGGUUUCUUCGAGAUGGGGAAGAUAUUCAGCUAAGCACCUUCAAAUUAGAAAAAAAAAAGUAGAGGGUUUUCAGUAUAUGCAUGGUAUGCAGGUAGACUGAUAUUUUGUUUUGUACAGGUGUAACUUACAUCCCAUCCAUCCAUGGAGGAAGUUUAACAUCCUCUACAGAGAAAAGCGCUUUUAGAUCAGAAGAUGAUACUAAUUUCAGACGAGGUGACGAAGGUGCUGAUUCAUACUUUCGAAGAAUCGGGUAUACCACCUGCAUCCACAACUAGUUUAUCAAUAUCAACAAGACGCUGCUAACAAUUGAAAAGGGGUGAAGAAUGGGAUAACGAGACCUGAAGAUAAAUUUUCUGCUCAUUCUUCCAAGGGCACCCAACAACAAGUUUGUUUAUGCUCAUAUCCAUCACAAGAGGUACUGCAAACUUGACUUCCUCUGGCUACAAUUAAAAAUUAAAGGUAAUGGAAAGAGUCACAUGCCUACAAUGUGCGCUGUCUUUACCAAGAAGGAUCAAGAAUCUUGACAUAUAUAAAUAUACCUUGUCAGCUCCUGAAGUCAUUUGCAUUUCAAUUCCCUGAGAAAAGGAAAACAAGAAGAGCAUCAACAUUGAGAGAACUAUGAGAUGAUUUAUCUAAAAUGGUUUUGAGCCCAAUACAAAUUCUAAAUUACCAUUCAAGACAUAACUUAUCCAACCCUAGUGUUUCACAGGACCUGAGCAACAGAAUCUAUAUGCUUUAAGAGGCCCGCCUCAGAAACUCAGACAAUAUAAAAACAAACAGGUCGCUUUUUCCAUCACUAGUAGUUAACGCAUAAAUGCAAGGAAAAAAAAAAACAGAUUAUAAAUGAUUCCUUGUAUAAAAGCAUAAUUUUACCUUGCGAGUUAAAACUGUGCUAAUUUCAAACUUGACACGAUCAUCAUCAACUUGACCCACUCGCUUUCGUUGGUAGGCCACAUAUUGAUCCCUGUAGAGUGAGAAAACAACUUGAACUGAGCCAGGUAGUAUAGCAACCUCAAUACUUACUACCCAGAUUUAAAUGAUGUCUUUGGAGUAGAACUCCCAGAGUUUUGUAGGAAACCCAAUUGGUGAGAUAACCAUGAGAGUUGUACUCUUAAAGAUCAUUAAUCAUGGGUAAAUAAUAGAAAGAAGAAAAAGUGCCAUGGGGACAAAGGGGUUUUGAAUGAAACAAACCUCAAUCCUUGAAUGAGAACAAGUAGCAGAGUCGAGUCCUGGUUGUUCCACUCAGACAAAGCCUUGUCUAGUAAUGAAUCAACAGGAGCAAUAGUGGUGCUACACGGCAUAAAAUCCUCAUCAUCUGGCCCAAAUAUGAAAUCAGGAGGAGCUGCUGGAUACUCUGAAUUGUAAAUAACAUCCCCUGCCACCCAAAAUAAAAAUAAAAAUAAAAUAAAAACGUUUUUGUGUAAAUUACAGAAAACAAUUGCAAAAUUGAGAAGAAGAAAACACACUUACAUUUGAUCGCGUCCAGGCAAUAAGGUAUGACCAAAGUAAAACGGUCGAGGAUUCUGGGAUUGAACCUGUUACCCGACCGUACAUUUUCGAUCUACAAAUCGUUGAAGAAGAUAAUUUUUAAGUUUAAUAAAACCCUAACUUAGAGAGGAUUGGAACAUGAAUCUGAUGAUUGAUGUUUACCUUGAUGGAAUCAGGAGAGUGGUUGAGUAAGUAAUGGAGCUGAUCGGCGAUUAAAGGAGGAAAUGCUUCGAACGCCAUGCGAAGAAUCCCUAUUUACCGACAGGGUGAAAGUGCCGAUAGGUGGUUGGGUUGCACAAGAGUGAAAAAGGGCAUCGCUCUCAAAAGAGCACUCAAAAUGGGUUAAACCAACCCAAACCAAACCAUACCCAAAUUGAUUUGAGCUUAUAUGAGUUAUGGAUUUACCCAAUCCAUUUCAUUAAAAUUAAUGAGCUAUUGGUUUUAAUGGUUUAUCCACUAAAAAUACUAUUAUAGUUUGAAUGGUUAUCAAAUAAAAACAUAUUAUAUUUUGGCUGAAAAUAAAAAUCUUCUCUUAAUAGAAAGUACAAACUAUUUAGGCAAAAAAAAACAAUUUUGUAGUUUUAACCAAAAAAUUAUAUUUUAUCGUCUAGACAGGAAAAAUACAAUUUUGGUAGGAAAACUCGGUUUUACAGUUUUGGCGGGAAACUAAAUUUUACGGUUUAAUUGGAAAAACUUGAUUUUGUGAUUUUGGUAGGAUAUUGUUUUAGCGGGGAAACUCGAUCUUACGGUUUUAUCAGGGAAACUCGAUCUUACGGUUUUGGCGGAAAUUUUUGAUCUUACGGUUUUUGCGAAAAAAACUCGCUUUUGCGGUUUCGGCGGGAAAAUUUUAUCUUACGGUUUUGUCGGGAAAACUCGAUUUUGCGGGUUUUGUAGGAGAACUCGAUUUUGCGGUUUUGGCGGGAAAAUUCGAUUUAGCGGUUUUGGCGGGAAAACUUAGUUUUACUUAUGGCGGGAAAACUCGGUUUUACGAAUUGGCGGGAAAGCUCGGUUUUAAGGUUUUGGCGGGAAUACUCGUUUUUUACUGUUUUGACAGAAAAACUUGGUCUUAAGGUUUUCGGUUCUAGCGGAAAAACUCAAUUUUUUCGAUUUUGGCAAUAAAACUCGAUUAGGUGGGAAAACUCGAUUUGUAGUUUUGGCAGAAAACUCGAUUUUUGCGGUUUUGGUGAAAAUAUUCAAUAUGUAAUUUUGAUGAGAAACUUGAUUUUAUGGUUUUUUUUUUGUAAAAAAGGUUAAAGUUUAAUAAGAAAAUAGCAUAUAAUAUGCAUAUCGUUGAAAAAUUGCGUUGACAAAAAAUGUAUGAAAAAUGGAUUACAUUUAGUUUAUUUAAAUUGAUUUAGAUAUAUAUGAUAAAAUAAAUACAAACUUGGUUUAGUAAUAUGUGUUAAAAUUUUGGAGUUUUUUUAUUUGAUUUGAUUUUAUGUUGGUUAUAAUUUAUUAUUGGUUUGGUUAUUUUUUGACAACAAAAUAUUUUCAAGUCUCAUUUUAUUGGUUUGGUUAUAGAUUUUUUUGUUUGGGUUAGAUUUAGUUUAUUAAAUUUUAAUUAUAUACAUGUGAAAAUAAAUAAAAUUUGUUGUUGUAAAAUUGGUUUAUAAUUGAGUUUUGUUAUUUAAUUAUAUUUUCAGGCGGCACCAUAUGCAGAAAUAAAAGUUUAAAAAAUUAAAUUAUAUUUAAAAUAUUUUUUUAAUUUUAAUUAUAUGUAAAAAUUAAGAUACAAUAAAUAAUUUUUUAUUUAAUUUUUAAUAAUAUUUAUGUCUAUAAUUCUAAAAUUAUAGACAUUUAUAAUUUUCAAGUAUUAUUUAUGUGGUUAAAAAUAUUAUUUAUUUAUUUUUAAUAAUAUUCUGAACAAGGAUAAGAACCUAAAAUAUCAAAAUAAACAAUAUAUCUGAAAUAUGUUUGGAUAUUUGUACGAAAAAUAGUCAUAUUACUCGAUUCGAUCCAAAUCUUUUAAAUAGAGUUAAUUACAUGACGACGCAUCUAAAAUAUAACACUAAUUAUAAAAAACAAAUAUACCAAUAUAUAAAAUCGUAAAAAUCAAACAGAUUAUGUUUCUCUUGCUGCAAGAAUCAAAAAGAAGCCAUAUUACUAGAGGGAAUACGACGGUAUAUAGAAAAAUGAAACAAAUUAGAAUUAGGGCUAAUUUAUGUCAAGAAGGAAAACUUGGUGAGCAAGUCCCUUCAUAUGUAUUAAUGUGAGCAAUUAGGGUUUCAUUUCUUUACUAAAACUAUUCAUGUCUCUGAUUCUCAACCAGCCCCCGAAGCUAUGCUUGCGGAAACCAGUGUUGGUAAGAUGCUCUCCUCUUCACCACUCUAAUGGUUACUCAUCUGCUUCAUUGCCGCAAUCACAAACCCUUCCUUCAACCAUCUUAUGCGCUGAUCCUUGUAGACCACAUCUCGUAAGACCCGUGUACAGGAGGAGGGAUGGUGACAUGGAUAUUCUUGAUUACGAGAUGCCUAGUGAUUUUAUGGAGGUAACGGAAAUGAUAGGAACAUCCAAUGGAUGGAUAACGUCUUUGGUGGACGGCAUUGUGCAAAUCCGGGAACACCCGGGGAAGAAUCGUAAACAGUUGAGAAUCAUUUUUUUACCUCCUCAUGUAACGCUGCCUCUAUGCCAAGCCCAAAUGGCCACCAACGUGGCAAUGUCCUCAUCUUCUCCGUUGAAAGAGGAGUGUGUUGUGGCUGUCAAGUUCUGGGGACCUCAACUAAGCAUUUGUAAACCGGCUCAAAGCAACGCCGAGUGGAUCAACAUCAGAAUCUCAAACCCUUGUUUCUUUUCAUCCCCUGUCAUGUAUUCGGAGAAAGAGGACAUGUUUCGCAUUGUCGGAUCUGGAGGCCACCUUGUUGGAUCAUGGGAUCUCGGCAAACACAAGUGCACACCAAAGAUUCAGAGACUUCAAUUUCAAAACCUUCCGGAGCUGAGCAAGGCCAAGCGGGAGCUUCUGUACUCGAGCAACACAAGCGAACACUUGGUGGAGUCAAGAACAACCGGUGAAACUUUCAUGGUUAAGUGGUACAAAAGGACGGCCAAGACCAUCUACUGCAUAGAGAGAAUGGAAACACAAGCUUUAAUGGUGUUCAAGAUAGACGAAGAAGGCAACGCUGUUUACACUCAAGAUAUUGGUGAUCUCUGCAUUUUCCUCACAAAGUCUGAAUCUUUCUGUGUCCCUGCUUGCUCUGUUCGCCACAUGCGUCCUAAUCGCGUCAAACUCAUGGAUGUCGACGAAUUCACUAUUAUCGAUCUCGCUGCUCAAAAGUGGAACUGAUAAGAACAUUAGUUUGGACUUGUGUUUUUUUUUUCCUGAGACUAGAGUCUUGUCUUUUUCUUUAAAACCUUUCAAAUAUCCAAUCUAAUUUUUUCGUAAUAUUUAAUAAGCUUUUUGUCAACCUAAACAUAAAUUAAUCAUAAAUGUUUUUCAAAUUUUCCUUAAAUAAAAAUCACGAAAUUAUGUAAUGUACCUAAAGUAUAUAUGACAAUUAAUGAUUUUGAAUAAUAAAGAUUUGAUUAAAAUUAGUCUAUUUUCUAUCAUUUUUUUAAAUUUUAACUUAUUAAAAUAAAUUAAAUAACCACAUUAACUAUAUAAUAAAAAAUUAGAUUUUUUUGCAUAUGUUAUAUUUUAAAUUUUUAAAAACGAAUAUAAAUAACUAAAGUUGUUAAAAAUCUCACAUUGAAUUUUUUGUGAUCCAUGGUUUAAAAUUUAUGUUAUAACAAGAUACAAAUGAUUACAAAAUUACAUAAGUAGGAAGUCUCAUUUAAUAAAUUUUAUAUAUUAAUAUUAAUAUUUUUUUAAAAAUAAUUUAUAUACCAUAUAAAAUACAUAAGUAUUUUAAUUUCGAAUUUGUUUUGAUUUUUUUUAUAAACAUUUUGAACAAUUAUUGACAACUUAAUAUUUAAAUUUUAAACUUUGCAUUGAAUAUUUUUAAAAUUAUAAAUUACUAAAACAUUUAAACAUCCCACAAAUUUUUUAUUGUUAUCAUUGAUUUAAAAUUUUUGUUAUCAAGAAAUACAAACGAUCAAAAUGAAUAUGAGUAUAAAUACUAACCCACAACUUGAUUUUAACCCCAAACCUAUACCCAAUUUUUAACAGAUGUCAAUAUUAAAAAUGUAAUAUAUAUCUAUGUUAAUGGUGAUGAUUGGUUCAACUGUGGCUUUAAAAAUUUAGCUGUAGAUGUUUAGCUGUAGAUAAAUUGGUUGUACCUGUAAAGUUGUUAUUGUAGACUUUUUCUGCAGAAACUUUUGAUGUAGUUAAAUUUGUUGUAGCUGUAAGUUAUAGGCUGUAGAUAUUUUAAAAUAAAAUAUAUCAAAUAUGUGUUGUAUAUAUAAAAUUAUUAUUUUAUAUGAAUUAAAAUAAUUUAUAUUAAUAUUUUUUUAUAAAUUAUCAAAAUUUAUUGUAAUUUAAAAUGUGAUAUGUAAGUAAUAUUUAUAUUAUUUAAAUAUCUUAAUAAUUAAAAAACACUCAAAUUCAAAAUUAAAAUAUUUAUAAAAGUUUUUAUUAUGAUUAUAUAAUUUAUUUGAUAUUAUAGAUAUUUUUUUUCAUUUUACAGAUUUUACAGCCUAUAAAAAGAUGCAUUUUUGCCUAAAAUACAUAAGAGAAAGUUUUGCUUUAUUUUUUUUGUUGUAGCUUUAGAAAUAAAGCUAAAGCGUGAUUGGUAAAACUAAAUAAAAAUUUGAUGUAGACUUUAAUUUUUAAAAGUAAAGUUACAACAUGAUUGGUAAAAUUUAGUGAUUUAAAAAUAAAUAAAACUAAAGUAUGGAGAUAAAGUCUAACCAAUCACCCCCAAUAUCAUUCAAACUUAAUUUUAUAACAUAUAAAAUAGAAAAAGUGUUUGUCAAUUUAUUUAAGUAUUUGUACCAAUUUAAUUAUAUACGUAAUAGUUACUAAUUUUUUUAUUAUUCAAUAUAUAUUUAUUAUUUCAUAAUACGUUAAAAAAUAUAUAAUACUAAAAAAUAAUUUAUAUAUAAUAUUUAUUCCGCGGAGGGUGCGGAUCUUAACCGAGUAAAUGUUUAAAAGUCUGCUCCGUUGAAAUCAGAGUGAAUACGGUAUAUAGAAAAAAAAAUGAAACAAAUUAGAAUUAGGGUUAAUUUAUGUCAAGAAGGAAAACUUGGUGAGCAAGUCCCUUCAUAUGUAUUAAUGUGAGCAAUUAGGGUUUCAUUUCUUUACUAAAACUAUUCAUGUCUCUGAUUCUCAACCAGCCCCCGAAGCUAUGCUUGCGGAAACCAGUGUUGGUAAGAUGCUCUCCUCUUCACCACUCUAAUGGUUACUCAUCUGCUUCAUUGCCGCAAUCACAAACCCUUCCUUUAACCAUCUUCUGCGCGGAUCCUUGUAGACCACAUCUCGUAAGACGCGUGGUCAGGAGGGAUGGUGACAUGCAUGCUCUUGAUUACGAGAUGCCUCGUGAUUUUAUGGAGGUAACGGAAAUGAUAGGAACAUCCAAUGGAUGGGUAACGUGUUUGGUGGACGGCAUUGUGCGAAUCCGGGAAUACCCGGGCCCGGGGAAGAAUCGUAAACAGUUGAGAAUCAUUUUUUUACCUCCUCAUGAAACGCUGCCUCUAUGCCAAGCCCAAAUGGCCACCAACGUGGCAAUGUCCUCAUCUUCUCCGGAGAAGGAGGAGUGUGCUGUGGCUGUCAAGUUCUUGGGACCUCAACUAAGCAUUUGUAAACCGGCUCAAAGCAACGCCGAGUGGAUCAACAUCAGAAUCUCAAACCCUUGUUUCUUUUCCUCCCCUGUCAUGUAUUCGGAGAAAGAGGACAUGUUUCGCAUUAUCGGAUCUGGAGGCCACCUUGUUGGAUCAUGGGAUCUCGGCAAACACAAGUGCACACCAAAGAUUCAGAGACUUCAAUUUCAAAACCUUCCGGAGCUGAGCAAGGCCAAGCGGGAGCUUCUGUACUCGAGCAACACAAGCGAACACUUGGUGGAGUCAAGAACCACCGGUGAAACUUUCAUGGUUAAGUGGUACAAAAGGACAGCCAAGACCAUCUACUGCAUAGAGAGAAUGGAAACAAAAGCUUUAAUGGUGUUCAAGAUAGACGAACAAGGUAACGCUGUUUACACUCAAGAUAUUGGUGAUCUCUGCAUUUUCCUCACAAGGUCCGAAUCUUUCUGUGUCCCUGCUUGCUCUGUUCGCCACAUGCGUCCUAAUCACGUCAAACUCAUGGAUGUCGACGAAAUCACUAUUAUCGAUCUGGCUGCUCAAAAGUGGAACUGAUAAGAACAUUAGUUUGGACUUGUGUUUUUUUUUUCUGAGGCUAGAGUCUUGUCUUUUUCUUUAAAACCUUUCAAAUAUCCAAUCUAUUUUUUUUUUUCAUAUUUAUUAUCUGUGAGAUCGUUACGCAUAUGCUCCUGGACAAACCUUCCUAUCAUCUAUCACUAAAAUAGCAAUUUGGUUAUGCUUAAGCUAUAUUUAGUGUGUUCUUUGUGUUGUGACUUUAUAUAAUGGAAAGCUAUCUAUGCAUUGAGGUGAUAUUCCUUCUCUUUCGUAUUAUGUGCUCGUGAAGAGCAUUUUCCAUGAGCUUGGGAUCACAGAUGUCGAGACCAACUGCUCCGCCGGUGGAAGCGUGUGAUCAUUAAUGCUGGAAGAAGCUCGGAGGAUGUGCGUGAAGGAGAAAUAUUAACUUGUGCACCAUAUUUUCUUGUGAGCGCUUGGAAAAGGUGUUGAGAGAACACCAUAGUUUACUUCUCUGUUAGAAGAGAAACCUUUCCACACACAAAAAAAAGAGUUUAUAUACGAUUUUUAUAAUCAGAAAUCGAUAUAGAUUAUAUCAUAUCAACCAAAUUUUUCAAAAGAUUUGGAUUUUUACCUGAUCACCAGUCAAGAGAGAAGUUUUUUUCUCCGCGGACUUGGUAUUUGCUUCUGACUCAGAAUCCACCAGCCUAUUUUGCUUGGUUUUAGGCUACUAAUUUUCUUAGGAGGACAUCUAGAUUUACAAUACAGGUAGAGUAUUAUUAUGGUUUGUUGAGAAUGUUGUGAAUGGGGACCUUUUAUUUAUAAAUAUCGUGAAAUUGAAGACCAAGUAAGAUACUGAGGAAAUCCCUAGAAAAUAGAGAAGGAAGUGCAUAAAUAUUUGUAUACCAAGUUAAGAUACCAAAAUCGUUUGAAAAGAUAUGCAAGAGAAAAUCUAUAAGAAAUGUCAUAAAAUAUUUGUAUACCAAUUGAGAUACCACAAAACGUUUGAAAACCCGUAAUUAUGUUGCUCGUUUGAAAAUUUUAUUUUACUAAAAAAAUUAAAUGGCAUAUUCCCAUAUAUGAUUACGUAGCUGUCAUGUAUUGUUGCUGUUUGAAUAAAAACAAUUACGAAAAAUGCUGAUUUUAAUUAAAAACAUAUGUUUAAAUAAAAUUAGUGGCAGUGUAUUGUAAUUACUUUAAAAAUAGGAGGGUACUUCAAAAAAGAGGCUCUUCUGUUUUAAUAGUAUUGAUUUAGAUAAAUAAUAAGGUUUUGUUUUCUUAUAUAUUUAGUUAUAAAAACAAAAACGGGAAGGCUUAGGGUUUAUCUUUAACGCAAGACAAGUCGAAAGUGGAAAACUCCAACGCGAAGCUUGUUAAGGACAUGAUUUACCCAUGUCUCUUAAUCAGAAUUCUUAACUUAUGAUUUGAUAUUUUUUUUUACACUUUCUGUUAAGAGACGGAUUUUAUAUCUCUUAUUUAAAAGACAGUUCUUAAUUUUUUUUGUUAAAAUUAAAAAAAAAAAGCUAAAUAUCAUCUCUUACCCGAAAUUAAGAACCUCAGUUAACAGACUGGGGUUAAUGAUGAUCUAAAAUCCAUUAUAAUUCUUUGCAAAUGUUACAAGACUCACAACUGAUCCAACUAGUAUCCGUUCAAAUCCGUCGAGCGAUCUCAUUUUAUUUACAUGAUCUAGAAAAGAUUGCCUUUCUUGUUAGAAUAGUUUAGCAGUUGAUUAUAAUAAUUCCGCGAUGGACAUCGCUACUACAUGCACCGUGUGGUCCACGUGGAAUAGUAACUCUAUGCAUUUUAAUGAUUACAUCGAAUUCAAUAUACGCGUUUAACGAUUUUAGAAUACACACUGAGACAGUUAACUUGAUACGAGUGGAGAUCACAUCUAUUACGUACCGGGUUGUUUUCUUUACUAUAUUUUUUUCCCAUAAUUUAACAGUUUAUUUGAAUUUCACAUCGCAUGAAAACAAGCUGCGAUUAUUAUUUAUAUAUAUAUAUAUAUAUGUAAAUAAUAACAAAAGACUAGUAAACUAAACAGAUUCCAAACCCGUUAGCCACUUUGGAAAAAUUGAAUCAACAUAAAAUAUAGCAGAAGACAGGUUCCGAGUACCACGUACAAGCUUAUCCGCUAUUAUAUUUUUUGCUUUUAAGAUAUGUUGGAGCGAGAAAAUUUAAAAAAAUUCCUUACUUCGUAAAUUUUUUUCCAUGUGUGUACUGAACGCUGGCCACUCUGUAGGUGUAGACACCAUCUUCACCAUAUCAAUCUCAUAUAUAGCUUUGAUUAUCGAAAAAGUGUAGGUCAGUUAAAGGUUGAAGGAUAUGGAGAUAUAAAGAGAAGCCACCCAAAUUGUAGAUUGGCGACUCUUGGAGAUUAUAAAGCGUGACAUUCUCCUUUUAACACAUAUAAAUCAUAGAUAUCAAUGACUUUCAAGUAAGAACGUUCCCUUUUCUCUUUAACGAUGAUUUUCUCCACUACAUAUAUAUUAAACCCCAACGUUCGUAAAAGGCGUUCAAUAAACCUAAAACAACAUUUUGUUUGCAUUUGUUCAAUUGCUUGCAUACAUAAAUAUUAAAUAGAUUAUAAACUAGUGCAUUUUUAUAUCGAGAAUUCGAGAUUGUAGAAAUCAAAAUGGGCCAUGAGAAAUAGAUAUAUGCGUUCGUAAUUAUGGUCGUAUAUAUUUACAUAAUCAUUCCUAUAAUCUACUGAACAUUAGCAAACCAAUCAUCUCUUCUAUAAUUUUAAACUUGUAGGGUAAUAGCUUGUGCUUUUUAUUUUAUUUUUAAAAAAAUCUUGGAAAGUUCUCAAUGAUUGGGGGCAUUUCGAUCGGCCUAUAAUUAAAUUACUGGACUAACAUCAGAACCCAAAAUCCAACUUUAGUUGUAGCAUAUACUAGCUAUGUGACUAUGAUAUUCUCCAAAUCAUAUACUAAUUACAUUGUUUAUUGUAGAUUCAUUCAUAUAAUUGAGGUGUGGACAACUCUAUAAAAGAAUCAGAAUUACAAGGUAUUAAUUAACUACUGGUUGGUUGGUGACAGAUAAACUUAAUUAGAAUUAAUUUGGUAUCUAAGAAUGAAAAUAUAGAGCCAGCCUAUAAGAUGAUUAUCAAGAAGUGAGAGCAACUUGAUGGAAUAGUGAAAUAUAUUUUGACAAAAAGAAUCGUUACCUUUUCUCGUUUGACGCGCAGACGCGGUCCAUAUAAUUGAUUUCUUAAUAUUCUCAAAUUAACGGCUACGAACUUUUUUCUGUUCUUUUAAAUCUGACAGAAUCUACCUUACAUAUAAUGGCUGUGUCAAGAUUAGUAAAACUUAUUUAGCAAAAAAAAAAGAUUAGUAGAAAUUUCAUCACAAGAAUAUUUUGGUUUUAAUUGGGGGGUCGAUGGGUGGGUGGGAAAUAUUAAUUUAUCUUCAAUUUAUUUGCUUGUCUUAAAUUUUGUUAUUAUAUUUACUAGGUGUUUUCCCGCGGACGCGGACCUAAACAUAUUAUUAAUAUUUGCAUUAUUAAUUAGAAGACUAUAAUGAUAAAAUAUUAUUUAUAUUUUUAUUUGAAAAUUUUUACAUAUUAAUUAUUAUUUUUUUAAAAAAAAUUUAUACAUUAUACUCAUUAUAUAGAAAUAAAAUUUAAAAAUCACCCAAUAUUCUUUUUAAAAUUAAAUAAAAAUAAAAUUUUAUUUGAUUAAUAUUUAGUUAUAUAUUUUAUGUUUUUAGUAUUUUAUAAAAAGACUUUUCAGAUAACAACAUAAUAUAUAUAGAAAUUAUAUUUUUAUUUUAAAAUGUGUUUUUAAAUUCUGGAUAAUUUUUACUAUUAUUAAUUUUAUUCAAAUUAUUCAAUCAAAUAUAUUAAAUUUUUUAAAAUUUUUUAUAUAUUUUAUUUAUUAAAGGCAUAAACAAUAUUAGCUACUAUAAUUUUAACGUGAGAGCUCCGUUGCUAAAAUUUACUUUGUAAACAAUAGUAUAGAUAAAAUUUAUAUCAAUACUUUCACACGUGCAUCCAUCGUAUUUCCAAGUAAAGCUACAUAGAAAAAAGGAGAAUGCAAUUUAAAUAAAACUAGAGAUUGACCCGCACGCCCGUGCGGGUGUUAAUUUUUACUUUCUUAUAAAUCGAUAUUUUAUUUUUAUGAUUAGUAUUAUAUAUUUUAUAUGUAUCAUAAUAUAAUUAAUUGCAUAAAUACUUUUAGAUUUCUAUACAUCAUAAUCGAACCUGAAUCAAAUAGAGUAAUAUGAUUACUUUUGGUUAUUUGGUUAUUUUUAGUUUAAUUUGAAUUCAACAUACCUGAAUUGAAUCUGUUAAUAUUCUUACUUUUCAUACAAAUAUCCGUACCGGCGUCAAAUACAUUAGUUUUUGGAUAUUUGUAGGUUUGUAUAUAUCAAGACUGAAUUCAUCUGGACCCGAUUCGAAACACACAUGAAAAUUUAUAAUACCGAAAUGAAGUCUAGUUUCAAAACUCAAAAAGCAUGAUAACCCACAGAAAUAACUCGUAGCUGAAUAGUUAUCCGAAUGUCCAUGGCUAACCGAUACAUAAGUAAAUAAAAAAAAUUGUUAACCAUUUUGAAUUCUUAUCACAAAUAGAGUGGUUUCAUUCAAAUAUGUCGAAUUAUUAUAGUUAAUAUGUAAAUAAUCCUGACAAAAUAUUAUAGUAAAUAUAAUUAAUGAGAUAGUUAAAAAGUGAGAAAAUGAAUGUAAAAGAUAAAAUAAAAAAAUUGAAAACAAAUAAGUUUUGUUUUUCAUGUCACUAUUAUAUAUCAUAUAUAUGUCAUCAUAUAAUUAAUCAUAUUUUAUAUGUACCAUAAUAUAAGUAAUCAUAUAAUUAAUAUUAUUUUAUACAUACCAUCAUAUAAAUAAUCACAUAUAUUAUAUUUAUAAACUUAAUAUGAAAUAUAAAAACCAUAAUUUAAGUUGGUGUUUUUAAUUAAGUUAUGUAUUGUAUUUUUCUUAUAUAUAGUGAAAAUAUUUUUUAAAUGGUUAUUGGAAAAUAUUUUAGUAAAUUUUCUUAAAAUAUAUAUAUAUUUGAAUCAAUUAUUUAUAUAAAUUAAUUUUAAAUUAUUAUUUUGAUUUGAAUUUUGUAUAGAAAUAAUUAAAAUUGAGAAAAAUGAAUGUAAAAGAUAAAAUAAAAAUUGAAAACAAAUAAAUUUUGUUUUGUACUUCUGUAAUAAAUGAUAUUAACUUAUUUAGUAAAUAUAAUAGAUGAAGAGUUAGAAUUGAUUAACAAUAUAAUAAAAAUCUUUUAAAAAAUCAAUUAAGAUAAGCAAGUAUUAUUUUCUACUGCUAUCCAUGUUUCCAAACAAUUCUCAUUUAUACUACUAUCCAUGUUUCCAAACAAUUCUCAUUUAUACUAUUAUCCAAGUUUCCAAACAACUCUCAAAUGUACUUCAGUUUUAAUAAUAUAGAUAGUAAAUAUAAUAGAUGAAGAGUUAGAAUUGAUUAACAAUAUAAUAAAAAUCUUUUAAAAAAUCAAUUAAGAUAAGCAAGUAUUAUUUUCUACUGCUAUCCAUGUUUCCAAACAAUUCUCAUUUAUACUACUAUCCAUGUUUCCAAACAAUUCUCAUUUAUACUAUUAUCCAAGUUUCCAAACAACUCUCAAAUGUACUUCAGUUUUAAUAAUAUAGAUAGAAAAAAACAAGAGGUCUUUCGUGUUAUUUUUUUGUGUUAAAUAAUAUUCUAUUAUGUUAUAUUUUGAAUUUUAGAAAAUGACUAUAAAUGAUAAAAAUCUCACAUUGAAAAUUUUGUGAUCAAUGGUUUAAUUUUUUUUUUGCUGAAGGAAGAUACAAUAUAUCCUUUCGGAAAAACAGGUUUACUGAUGACUUGGCAGGAUUCUGUCGAGGUUUGCCGAGAAGUUUGAAGAAGUGGUUGCGCUAGCAGUUUAGUCAAAGCCAUUGACUUAAUGGACAAAUAUUUUUGUUUUUUUCUUCUCUGUUUCUUUUUGAAUUUUGACCAGUAAGAAAUGGUAACAUUUCUGAAAUUAGGAUUUUAUACAGGGUUACAAUUAUACUAUGCUUUUCCAUAAAGUACCCAGUCCUCGAAUUUACUCGUUUGGUCGUUUACAAUAAGAGCUUGUCGCAUCCAAAAAUGUCAUGUGAUAUAUGGUCAAAGAAUAUAAAAUGUCCCAUGCGUACGACUUAUAUGCUUGGUUUUCUUGAAGUGCUAACUUAUUGAAAAAGGGAUCCAUUAUAUUUGAGAAAGAUUGCAAUCGUUAAAAUUUAUUUAUUACAUAUCGUUCGUUAGUUUUCCUUAGAUUGUUCUAGUUCGUUAUCUCAUCAGAACCCUUUCGAGUAUAUAUGAAUUUAUGAUCUUUCCACAAAAUUUGUAUCAAACUUUGGUGAACCGUAACUAGCGUAAUUAGCCUAAUCAGAUUGCUUAAGUUAACCAUCUGAGACGAAGAGGGAUUAACGUAACUGGCACAAUUAUUUGCAAAUGAUACUAUUAUGCCUCGUAGAUACACCUGUUUGGUAGAGACUCUCGAUUUUACACGUGAGGUGUCGGUUAGGACUUUGCUUUCAGUUUUGACUAAAUGCCAUGCAAUUAGACGCAUAUAUUACUAUACCUUCAUGCAAAUUAACACCCACAUAAAAAAGUUUUACAUAUUUUUUUUUUUCAUUCAGAAAGAUAUAUAUAUAUAUAUAUAUAUAUAUAUAUAUAUAAUUAGUAUUUAUGUUUUACAUAGCAUGUAAUGAAUAUAUAGAGAGAUAUAUCUACUUCUUGGUUAUCGAAUUUGUUACAAUGAUUACGUUUGUCCAAGAAAGAAGUAUUUUUCGACGAGGAAAUCAUUCCAUUUAUUUAAGUUUGUUCAAGUUAAUUAAUGUCAGUAAGUAUUGUGAAGUAAAGAAAACUAUGGUUAAAAAAACGAAAAAAAAACUAUGGUUAUCCCUCAAACUUUAGAAGUAGUUCAAGGGGCGUAUAAAAUGUUGUUAUGUCAGAUUUAAAUUAGAAUUUAAGGUGCUACUUAGGGAGGGUGAUGGUGAUUUAUGUUCUCAGGACCAGCCACAAGUAGCUAAUAUCAAAAUGUGAUAUCAACUACUUUUAUAAAUAGACAUUUGAUUUUUUUUUCAUUAAUCAAAAAUAUGAAAUGUGAUAAUUUAUAGGUCCAAUCAAAUGUAAAUCGAAUUAUCUGACAGUGGUUGCGAGGAUAAUUUUUCACUAUUUUAGUCCCCAACUCACCUCAUUGAACAUAGAACUUUGAUAAUUUAAUACAUGCUAUAUAAUUGCCAAAUAGUUUGGUUUCUUAUAGCAUCAAGUUAAUAUGUUUUAGAAAAAUCUCUAUGUGACAAGAAAGAUUAUAUAUACGUUCUUCAUAGUACAUUUGAUUAGUAUAAAAUUGAUUUGGUUCUGAUUAUUGGUAAAAACAAAUUAGGAGCACCAACCAAGAGGGCAGAAGAAACAAGCAUAUGGGUGGUGUUCCUGUUAAUGAGAGGGGACCACGUGGCGGUUGCUGGGAACGCUGCAACGCUAAAAUUAACUUAACGAUCGGUGAGAGCGGAAAAGCCGCUUCGAAAAAAGCCCCACUAACCAAUAGUAGGACCCAUCUAAAAUGGGUUCCAGCGUUCACACACUACAAUAUCUGUUUUUUUAGUCAAGUUACAAUGUUUUUUUCAAUCGAAAAAGGUUAACCCAGAUCUAUUAAAUACAGAGAUCUAACUCUCGGUUGGAAGGUAUAAUUCACAGAUAAAUCUUUUUUUGAGUAUUCAAAUAGACCGUAAGCAUAGACUUAUUCUGCAUGGUCACAUGUGGAACUAAUAAUUUUGUAUUAGAGGAAAGUCGAUCAUGAUCUAGAUCAACAUGAUAACUUCUCUUUUAGUGAUUAGUUAAGUUACAAUGUUGUCCAAAACAUAAAGUUUCUUGUUUUUUUUUCCUACAAUAAUUUGCAACUAUAAAUUCAGACCACACCAGAUUGUGUCUCUCUCAAGCCCACACACACAUUCUCACCCUGUUUUCUUACAACUCAAAUCUCCUUUUCUAUCUCUUUCAGCUUAUAUUUGCAAACAAAAAAUGGGUAUAUUUUUGAGUUUGUUAGUUUAAUACAUAAACACAUGCUGAUAUAUUUUACCUGUCCUCAUCUGUUUCUCUGUUAUUUUCAGUAAGAUUCAUCGAAGAAAACACAAAACCGGUGAAAAAUGAAACAGGAGACAAAUCAAAAACGGAUGCAACAACGGUGAAGACGAAAGUUCUUCAAGAUCUUAUCAUCAACAAUGGAGGAGGAUUAAUAAAUUCAUGGGUUGAUUCCAUGAGAGCUUGUUCUCCUACUCACCUCAAAUCUUUGAUGAAACAAAGCUCUUGGCUGGUAAGUAUAUCAUUAUGAUCAGGCUAUGGCUAUAACGUCUACUUAUCUAUGUUAUAUUUAUUCUCUUAUAAUAAACGAGGUUUGUAUGAUUUUCGCAGACAGAACAUCCAUCAGCUUUAGAUAUGUUCGAAGAGAUUCUUCAUGUUUCCGAAGGAAAACAAAUCGUUAUGUUCUUGGAUUAUGAUGGCACUUUAUCUCCCAUUGUUGAUGAUCCAGACCGAGCUUUCAUGUCUAAGAAGGUUCAUUUCUAAAACCUAUAUAUAUAUAUAUAUAAUAAAAAUAAAUCUACUAGUUACAAAAAUUGUUUUGACAUUCUAAUUUUGCUUUUAUGUAUAGAUGAGAAGGACAGUGAGAAAACUAGCAAACUGUUUUCCAACUGCCAUAAUUAGUGGAAGAUGCAGAGAAAAGGUAAAAUAAUAAAAAUAUAAAAUUAGCAUAAUUUAAUUAGUAGUGAUCAAUUACUGACGCUAAUUAUAGUAAUUCUGACAAUUUUCAGGUUUAUAAUUUUGUGAAACUGACUGAGUUGUACUAUGCUGGAAGUCAUGGAAUGGACAUCAAAGGACCAGAGCAAGGGUCCAAGUAUAAGGAUGUAAGUUUUUUUGUAUACGUACAUUAAUAUGAUUAAUAACUUUUCUAAAAAAGGAUCAUUGAUAAAAAAAUUUCUUUUCAUUCUCAUUCGUUAUUAUAAAACAGCAGGAUAAAUCUCUUCUUUGCCAACCAGCUACAGAGUUCCUCCCCAUGAUCGACGAGGUCACAUUCUCCCUCAAGAUUUCUCGUAUAUCUGAACAAUAAGAAGAAAAAAAACUACUUCAUUGUUACUUACACUAUUUAAUAUGCCUUUGUCCAGGUCUAUCAAAAAUUAGUGGAGAAAACAAAUUUAACUCCCGGAGCCAACAUAGAGAACAAUAAAUUUUGUGUCUCUGUUCAUUUCCGGCGCGUCGAUGAGAAAGUACGAUAAUGUUCUUUCUUUUAAUAAUUCGUUAUUAGUGUAAUAAGAAAUAAAAUUAAACAAUCAAUUUAUUUAUUUAUAUAUUGACAGAACUGGAGUGAUUUGGCUAAUCAAGUUCGAUCAGUCAUGAAGGACUACCCUGAGCUCCGACUUACUCAAGGAAGAAAAGUAAGAUACUAUUAAUAAAGUGGUUUCUAUUUUUAAGGUGACAAGAGUUUUUUUUCUUAAUUAGCGAGUUUGUGUGUUUGGUAUGUCGUUCAGGUUUUGGAAAUUCGUCCUAUCAUUAAAUGGGAUAAAGGCAAAGCACUCGAGUUUUUAUUAGAGUCCCUUGGUAACUUCUUCAUCGACUAAUUAGUAAUGAGUAACAUGAUUAAUGUUGAGAUCAAUAGCAGUAUUAAUUAAAAUAGUGUUGCCUUUUGUAGGAUACGCCAAUUGUACCGACGUUUUCCCCCUUUAUAUCGGCGAUGAUCGCACAGACGAAGAUGCAUUUAAGGUACAUAUAAUCUCGUAAUUACUGAAAGACUUAAAAUUAAAUAGUUAUUGUUCAAUGAUCUAAGUAAAUUUCAUUUAACGGAUGUUAUAGAUACUGAGAGAAAGAAGACAAGGUCUUGGCAUUCUUGUAUCCAAAAUCCCAAAGGAGACUAACGCAUUCUAUUCUCUGCAAGAGCCUGAUGAGGUGAACAUGUUUAUCAUUUUUCAUUUUAAAUGAUUAAGUUCGUAUCAAAAGUUCCUUAAAUUAUCCUGUAUAUUGUGUAUACAUGAUAGGCUGAGUAAUAUAUUUUUUUCUUAAUUAUUUUCAGGUUAUGGAUUUCUUGCAGCGUUUAGUGGAAUGGAAACAAUUGAGAUCUGGAGCAUGAUGAUAGAGCUAUAAGCCUAUAAGUACAUAAGUUCUUUUUAAUGACAUGUUAAUCAAGUUUUUUUCCUUCUAUAUAUGUAUUGUACUCAACGCAUCUUUGUAUAGAGAGAUCCAUUAUCAAAGAAAACAGUUAAUGGAAUCGAUCAUAUAUGGAUGGUUCUAUUCAAUUAUUUCUACGCGUGUAAAUUAUAAAUACUUGACAUGUAUCUAGAUGUUAUCUUGAAAUGAAAUGAAAUGUCAUGAUAUAAGUAUUAUUAAAAAAAAAGAAAAAGAUAUAAGUAUUAUUUCACUUAUAUUUCGAAUUAAAAUAUCUCAGUCAACAUUUGGGUAUUUUUUAAUGUUUUGGAUAUAAGGUAGUUCAAAUCAAAGUGAAAACAUAUCCAGAAGAAAAAUUACAAAAAUAAAACUAGAUUUAUCGAGUCAAAUGUAUCUAUUUCUAUAUCUGCCUAUAUGAAUCUCAGAUCAGUACAAACUAAAAUAUAAAACAUAUAACUCAAAAAUUGAUUAUUAAAAAUAAAUGAAAUAUUUGUUUGAUUAUUAACAACAUUCAACCCCAAACUGAUUAACAACCUUCAACCCCAAACUGAAACAUAUCAUGAUACGUUUCAGUUUGGGGUUGAAUGUUGUUAAUAAUCAAACAAAAAUUCCAUUUAUUUUUAAUAAUCAAUUUUGAGUUAUAAAUUUUAUAUUUUAGUUUGUUCUGAUCUGAGAUUCAUAUAGGCAGAUAUAGAAAUAUAUACAUUUGACUCGAUAAAUCUAGUUUUAUUUUUGUAAUUUUUCUUCUUCUUUUAUCCCGUUCAAACAGGAUCAUUUCAGUUUUGAUGGAUUGAACAUCAAUUUUAGUUUUAAUUUCUUUUGGCAGUCUUUGUUUCUGUCAUAACUGAAACACGGGUUUUCUCAAACAAGUGAAUCUCUAGAUAAGCUAAGUUCAUCGCAUGGAAUCUAUUUGCAACGAAGAAGGGAUCCUUUUACUUUAUUUUUCGAAACCAUAAGAAAGAAAUGGAAUAUUCUACGUACGACGCAAAACUUGGGUGGGAAGAUGGCGUCAGAUAGACUCAACCUAUGAUCGGAUAUCUUUUCUGCUAAGCUUAAUUAGUUAAAGACUUACUUAGAUUGUUAAUUGUUUAAUUAAAGAUAAAAUAGUUCCUAAUUAUACGUAACCAAUUACAUAUCUUUGUAUGGAAUCUUAUGUGACAUAAUUUGUCUAAGUCUUAGGAAUCCCAAGAAAACAGCUCACCAAUAAGAGAAUCUCUCUGACAGAGUGACAGUACAACUUUUUAUGCUUUAGAGUCAACGUUCAACAAUUUUUUUUUUGUUACCGAAAGAAAACAUAUAUAUAUACAUAAUAUCCUAAUUAUCGAGUGUAAUUGGUAAGUAAAAGCGCAACCUAGAUUAAUUAUUAGAGCAUCUCCAAAAGAAACUCUAUAACUCCAAAUAUAGAGUUUUUUACUCUCCAAAAAGGAACUUCAAAACUUCAAAUUUGAAGUUUUGAAGAGUAAAACUCCAAAUAUAGAGUUUCACUUUUCAAAACUUCAAAUUUGAAGUUUCAUCUUUUUAUUUGCAUUUUGGUCCUUACAAUUAUAUAUCAUAUUUAUAAUUCUUAAAUAUUUUUUUGUUUAUUGUUUUAAUCCUUAAAACUUUUAUAUCUCAUAAAUAUUUCAAAUUUGUUUUAUAAAUUUAAGUUUUACACAUGAAAUUAAAUAAAAAAAAUUUGAAACAAGAUUUAUAAUAUUUUAAAACCAGAAUUAAACAACAAUAAUAUUACAAAAAAACCAUGAUAAAAACUUAUUAAAAAAACACAUGAAGACAUAAUUAUUACUCAAAUUUAAAUAUUAUAACAACACUAAUAGUCUGGUAAAUUUGCUCUGGAACCUCUCAAAUCUCCAAAAUAUUGUCCAAACAAAUUUUGUGUAACCGAAGAUGAUUGUUGUUGUUGCUCUUGACACAUUUUUCGUAUGAUUCUUUCUUGUUCAGAUCGAAUGUAUUCACGAAUAUUAACAUCAUCGAUAGAAGCUAAGUUUUUAGCAAUAUUUUAUUUCCUAUUUUACUUCUUUAAAAGCUAACUUUUUUGCUUCAUUUUGCAGUCGUAAUUCAAUCAUCUCAUGACCUAUUUCCCUGCUUGUUGUACUUUCGUUUAAAAGAUCAAAGAUUUCUUCGUUUGAUGAUAUCAAACUAUCAACAGCCAUAUUAUGAUGAUACUUCGAAAUGCACUAGUUGAUCAUAUAUGAGAGCAUUAUGGAAAUAAUUUUAUGGAAUAAUGUAGUAUUUGUUUGCAGUUUAAUAUUUAAUUAUGUACUUUUAUUUAUAAUUUUAUAUUUUAGUGUAAGAUUUUUUAAUUAAUAUUUCUGUAAUAUUUAUAUAUAUGUACUAGUUAUUUAUAGAAGUUUUAUGAAUUUAUAUCAACUAUGACAAAUAUAAGGACCAUAGUGUAAAAUAUAAAUAAUUUUGAAGUUAGGUUUGAAGUUUUACUUUUGGAGAAGAACACAUUGAAACUUUAAAUAUAGAGUUUUGAAAACUUCAAAAUAGAGUUCCUUUUUGGAGAUGCUCUUAUAGAGAGAAUGAGAGUAAAAGUAUUAGAGUAAAUAAUAUAAUUAAAAAAAACAAUAAAACCAGCGCAACAUAUAUUUACUUAUUUCAAACAGUGACUAGCGAAAGAGUAGUUUCACCUGAUUGGCAUAUAAAAGUGAAGCUGAGAGUAAAAAGAUUUUCUCGCCAAAAGAUUAUCGCUAAAAAGAAGUUACAGUCGUAAUAUAUUUGAUUGAACCAUACUCAUCGUUUCCUGUAUAGGAUAAUCUAGUAACUUUGCCGUAAUAAAUACUCUCAUUGUGAAAAAUAAAUAUAUUAGCAAAUUAAUAUCAAGCCUACAAUAUAAAUUAAAAUCACAUCAAGUAUUCUGGAAAAUAUAUUUGAUUGAACCAUGCUCGUUUUUUUUCUUUGUUCGUUUCAUCAAUUAGAUAACUAUGUAAUAUGAAAUACAUAAGUUAUAGAAUUCAACUAUAUACACAUUAGUUCUCACAAUAUAUAUAUAUAUAUAUAUAUAUAUAUAUAUAUUACUAAAAAAGAAAAUUUAUAUUAUUUAUUUCCUGAAUUAUUGUUAGUAAAUUUCUCAUGUUUUCCCAAAGUUUAGAAUCUAGACUAACUAGUAUUAAUAUUUAAUUGUUGUCACAAUCCCAUGUGGGUCAGUUCAAUAUUUUGACUCAUAGAGAAGAUGAAAAUAAGACAUUUCAAUUUUUUCCUCAUAACUGAUGUAAACACAAAACAAAAAUAGGUUGUUAUAUAUAAUAUGCUCAAAGGACCAACUUGAUGGACUUCUUAUAUCGUAGGCGUGGACCUAACUAAGUGUUUAUGUAGCUAUGACUCCUAUGAGCUAGCGACAACGAAUAAAAUAUUUUGUUAAUGAUUAGAAAGUAUAACUAGAUAACUCAUUACGAUAAUUAGGAUUUGAUUAGGGUUUUUGGUCUCACGUUAUUGGCUGUCUACUUGUGAACAACCCAUUAGUGUUACUUCACCCAUUUCUCCCUACAUGCCACAAGAAGAUCACUGUGGGAUUUGGUGGCUUAUACAUUUAUAGCUUUAACUAUCAACUAAUAAUGCAUGCUCCAAAAUUAUCAUUGCAGUAAUUAUAAUGAUAAUUCAUAUGAAGUGGUAUAUAUUUUUAACAACCCUGAGUUCUUAGGGAUGUCCUGAUCUUAUGCUACAGAAAAUAAUGGAAAUGUAGGUUGCAGGACACAUAAACUAAACCUGCAAAGACCUAGUCGGCUUAUCAUUGAAUGGAAUACGUACACAUCUUGAUCAUUUGGAAUUAAUAAAUUAAUAUAUUAAAUUUGUUUGGAAACGCAAUUGAUAUUUUGGAAAUUCCCACAUUGAAAUUGAUUAGUAUUUUGUUUUGCUUCUGUUAAACUAUUAAUUUUAUUCAUCUAACAUAGAUUAUAUACGAUUUUUUUGCUGCCUAAAAUAUGAAAAAGGUAAAAAAGAAAUGCAAAAAUGAGGGACAAUCUUUGAGACGUUUACAUAUCAUAUACCCUAUAUGAUCCACUACGACUAAAUCAGACCAAAUAUAAUGCAAUUUUUUAUAUUUUGGCUUGGCAUUUGUUCCCAUUGGGUUAGGAUUUCCAACUAGGGAGAAAUACUCGCUCCAAAAAAAAAAAAAAAAAGAAAGAAAAACAUAUACAGCAUUAUUAACCAGUGCAUGAGUUUAAACCGUAUCAUAAAACUUGUUGGAAAGGAAAAAAAGUUACGAGUUGGAAUCCACCAGAAAAAAGUGAGAGGGAUUCUCUAUAAUUUCACUUUUCUAAUUUUAAUUUCUCAAAUGUCCUCCUUUCUAUAAGAAAAAAAAUUCUAUCACAGCCUCCAAUUAUUGGCCGACUAAAAUUUAUAGAUCCUAGAAGCGCAAUAAUAGUAGCACUCGACCAAUCAUUGUUUGCCGUAAGUUUUCAAGUUCGUAGGCCUUUUCUUAUACAUAUAGGUCAAUUUUAAGAGAUUCAUUCCUUCAAGAAAGUAUGAAAAUAUCUUUCUCAAAAAAGAGAAAGUAUGAAAAUAUUAAAACAAAAGUAUUAUACCAAUAAUGCAUGUCUUCUCUGAAAUUUUGGUUUGCGUUUUUUCUUCUCUGAAAAUACCUUUCAGUACAUAACAUUUACAAAAGGGAGCACAGUCUGCAGAAAAACGCAGCUUGCUCGGACCACAGCCAGGUCCAAUACCAAAAAACUUUCUAAAAAUCAACAACAAUAGCGACAACGCUAAAGCCAUUAUCUAUCGAACAACAAAGCCAAGAUAUGGAGACAGCGAAAGAUUGCAGCUCAAGCAACUAUAUACCAUAUAUGGAGACAGCGAAACCAUACGCUGCACAACCAUAUCUUCAUCCCGGCGACGUCGGUUUUCAAGUCUAUUGAUCGUGAGAUAAGGAACAUUAUUCUUGGCAGAAGACACAGAAAGGAGUUCUCUGCUCUUCUAUCUCUGUGGCUGAGAUUAAGCUGAUCAGCCAUCUCUCUAGUUUUACCUUAUGAGAUGUGUGUAAUGUUUUCCUUGUUUUAUUUUUUUGCCUCGGAAACAUUUUGUCUAGAACUCUUUUGUAAGUUCUUUGUUCAUUUUAUAUGAUAUUAACAUUCUAGCAAAAAAAAAAAAAAACAAAAGCCAAGAUGGAAGGUAAGUCGUUGUUGCAACAAAAGCCAAGAUUCAUUCCUUCGAGAAAGUAUGAAAAUAUUUUUAAAAAGUAUUACCAAUAAUGCAUGUCUUCUCUGAAAUUUGGCUGGGCAUUAAGUGACCAGCGCCGGUCCAAACAUCUCUAUAAAAGUCACUGGCCCUAGACCAAAACAGAAAAUAUAUAGAAAAAGUUACAAAAAAAAAAUGUUUGUUUCAAAAAGAUGUAUAUUCUAUGUUUUCUAUAAAAAAAUUGCAAACUUUAAGAAAAUUAAUUGAUUUUAUUAGAUUGCUAUUGAUUAAAAGUUGUUGAAAAUUGAAAAUUACAGAAAACAAUAAAUUUAUUAUAGCGAUUUAAUGCGUUUUAGGAACGGAUGAAGUAUCAUUUCAUCUCAUCGGUUUGAGAGCUUAAUACUCCCUCUGUUUUUAAGAGAUGCAUAUUCUAGACUUUUCACAUAUAUUAAGAAAACUCAUUAAAUAUGCAUUAUUUUUUUGUGAAUAACAAUUUUCCAUAACUUUUAGCCAAUAGAAAUUCAAUAAACACCAUUAAUAUUUUUGAAACUUACAAUUUUUCAUAAAAUCAUACAUUGAAAUGGUAAAAAAUGUAUCUUUUUGAAACAAAUUUUUUUUCCAGAACAUACAUAUUUUAGGAACGGAGGGAGUAUUAAAGUUUUUUAAAUCUUUCAGCAAAAAAAAAAAGAAUGCUUGAAACUUAAAUGUACUGUCAAUAUUAUGUGAACAUUAAGCUGAAUUUAUAAGAAAAACUAUAAGCAAUUAAUUGAAGCAAGAAAUAUUAGAUAAACGAAUCCCUUCAAUUCAUUAAUUUAAGACCGCCAAGACUUGCGUACCAUGCAUCUAUAUAAUAGCUCAUGUGAAGUCUCCACAGUUUUAAAAAACAAAUAAUAUAUAUAAGUCAAAUAAAAAUGCCCAGGAACAGCACAUGACUAAGAUUCCCUUUUUUGGUGGAGCAUCUUAAGGUGUUUGUAUGAACGACUCUCUAACACGUGUUCUCAGAAUGAUGUGUUCACCAUUUAAGCAUGCCAAUCUAUUGUAUACUUUUAUAUAUGGGUAUGGGAAGUUCCAAACUCUUUGGUGGCGUGUGGAAGCAUGUGACUCAGAUGCCCUCACUAUAGGGAGCAAUACUUGCGUGUCGAUUUUUACUUGAACAAUCCUUGACACCUUCUUAAUGCUAGGGCGAAAUUUUGUUCCUGUGUUAAAAUUAUUUGUUAACAAAGUCUAAACGAUUUUAGUGGAUGAUGGGUUUUAAACAAAAAUAAAUCAAAUAAGAGAUUACAUCUAAAGAAAGUACAAGAACAAUAUAAACAAACAGAAAAUACGAGAUUGUUAACAGAACCAUGAGCAACGAGACCAUGUGGAAAUGUAGGCGAAAAGGUUUGUAUUGGUCUUAUAGAAAUUUCCGGUAUUUUAAUGGUAGAACGCAGGAGAAGACUCUUUGUAUGUUUUUAUUAGACUUUGGUACCUAGGAUGAACGAACUAUGGAGCUUCGAACAAUUGUUGGUUUAUAACGUUUACAGAGAAUUCAAAUAUCGAUAACUAAAUCUUGUGUACAGUACAACAACCUUACAUUAAGAUGAUAACGCAUUUUAUUGGUGAGUGAGACUACGCAUAAACUUUUUUCAAAUUAUAGUACGUAGCUUGAUGAUGUCAUGAAGACUUAAGCUAUAAACCAUCGUCUAGUAAAUGGAUCCUUCCACGGUGGGUAUCUACCGAACCCAGUGGACAUGGUCAAAAACCAGGCUAUGGGAUGGAUAAUGGAACCAACAGCAAGCCAGCAACUAAAUGAUAUAGGGAUUUUUCCUUUAGAAAAAACUUGAAAAUGUCUGAGCCCGGGUUCGAAGCAGGGACCUCUAGUGUGUGAGACUAGCGUGAUAACCGACUACACCACCCAGACUAUGGCACUAUUAGUUUGACAUUAACGAUAUAUAAUUCUAGUAUAGACUACGUGCGUCUUUGUAGAUCAUAUAUAAUUCUAGUAAGCAUCCAAUAACAUAAUUGACCAAAACCGAAAAAAUAACAUUAGUACCGAAACCCAAAGAAAGUUUUGUCGAUACCAAACGGUCAACUUCAGAAAUAAACUGGUAGUGGAGAAAAGGAGUUUUGAAAACGUUUUGAUUUGAUUAAGGUGAGUAUUACAUCAAGUGACAAUGACAAACCCUCGGUUUUUGGCCUUCAAACAAAAGCUCCAUUUUAAUUUACAAAGACAAAGACGAAAAAAUAUCAAUAGUAAUAAUAGUAAUUUACAAAGACAAAACUGACGUAGUAACAAAAAUGGUUACCAGUCGAGUUUAAUGUUCCUUUCAAUGUAAAGUUUGUCAAUAUACUCUACGAUGGGACGUGAAGCUUCCAUGUACCUCCUCAUGUUCUUCUCAACAGAUUGUUCAGUUUCAUCGAGCCGUAUCAGAAGUUGAUCCCUCGUCGGAAGCGUAUACAUUCCCGCGUAAACCGCGGUUCUAACAGCCCAUGUAUGAAACGGUGCGCAUACUUCUGUGUAAGCUGUUGUCGCAGCGUCUUUCAAAGAGUACUCAUCUGUCAUCAAGAACUUCUCGAAGAUUGCUCGGAUUAGGUCUAACCCUAGUCUCACGCGUCUCAGGUUACGUGAACGGCUUCCAGGUGUUUUCACCGUAUCUUUCUCCACGUCUAGGUCCAAAAUAUUCUGUAACGUGUCUAAUGUUUUCGAGGCUUCAACCAAGUCGUUAACUUUGGAGAUGUACUCCAUCUCAGCAAAUUUGAAGGCGAACCCUAGGCAGCUGAAGAGGACAGAGACGUGUGUACACGCAUUGCAGAAUGCAUCAAGACUCAACCCGUCUUCUUCGGUGAUUAUGUCUGGUUUUAGAAGAUCAGCUAGAUUUUCAAACGCCUCUGUGAUUAUAGACAAAGGUGUGUUGACUCUCGCUGGUGUCUUGUUGCACACGGCAUCCUCAAAUGUGUCGUCUUCCUCCUCUUCUUCCUCCUCCAUUACCUUUUUGCUCUCCUCUUCUUUUUUAUAUAGCUUCGCCACGAUUGCUGAAAUUUUAGAAAAUCUUUCUUGAUCGUUAUGGUUAGCUCACGAGAAAUGAGAGAUGUGUUAUGGUUCUGCGAUUAUGUUUUAAGACGUGACUUUUCGCAAUACUUACGGGUUCACCAAUCAAAUCAAGGUGAGAAGCAUUGUUCAUAAUGGAAAAUUUUACUAUGUAAAGAAUGGCUAUAAAUGCUUGCAAGCUAUUUUGGUGUGAGAAAGAGGAUAUAUGGUCUUCAUGAUCUACGUAGUGUUUUUAUAAAUUAACAUUUGAAAUGUUAUACUUGGGAAAUACUAUUUUGUUAACGUGAUUCUAUUUGUCUAAAAGACAAUAUGGUUUCCAUUUACAUAUGAUAUAUUUUAAACACACUCUUAUGUAUGUACAAGCUAUUUUGGUGUGAGAAAGAGGAUAUAUGGUCUUCAUGAUCUACGUAAUUUUUUUUAUAAAUUAACAUUUGGAAUGUUAUACUUGGCAAAUACUAUUUUGUUAACGUGAUUCUAUUUGUCUAAAAGACAAUAUGGUUUCCAUUUCCAUAUGAUAUAUUUUAAACACACUCUUAUGUAUGUAAUCUAUUUAUACUAAGUAAGAUUCUAGUGCUGAUGUUUAAAAAAAUUAAUUGAUUCAUCUCUAUUUUUUUCUUAUUUUAUCAAAUAUAUUCGGUUUCCACUAACCCCAUGAGCAUAAGUUAAUAAUUUAAUUUGAUAAAAAAAAAAAGUUGAUAAUUUAAUUCUGGAUCGAUAUUAUCGCUUUUUAUUUAUCGAUUUAAAGGUUUGUAACCAUGACAAGUUGGAUGAAAUAAUAUUAUUUGAACCAAAUUUAUCAAGUCUUAAUAUCCUGAAGGGAACCCUCCUUUUCUUGGAUCACUCACAGCCACAAGCUUCCCAUCGGAUUCUUGAACUAUGAACUGAGAAAUCAUUCCACCAGCAAUCGGCGCUAGGACGUGACCUUUCUUCUCCAACACAUCUCUUGUCUCUUUAGGAAUCUCGAAAUGGUCAUCGUAAACAGUAGUCCAGUUCUCAUACAAAACUCUGUUUGGUAUCAACUGCAAAAGGAAAUCACAAUAAUAAUUUUUAGUUAUGAACAAAAGAAGAACAAGAAAGUUUCUACUAAUUAAGGGAAUAAAAACCUGGUGGUAGAUUCUCGGAGCCAAGACGGAAGAGAGAGGAUCCAUGUUGAGGAAGAAAUGAUUCAAGAAAACUUCCGUUGUUCCAGCGAUGAUAAAUAUUCCUCCGCUUGCACCCACCGAGGCUUUAACUUUACCGUCCUGCGUAAACCAGCGCAUAAAAAACUGAGCCCUAAUUCAGAUUUUCGUGUGUCACAAGUAACAUGCCUAUUUUUCUAAUUAACCUUAAGUACAAUGGUGGGAGCCAUUGAGGACAAAGGUCGUUUCCCUGGACGGAUGAAGUUAGCCGGUGCUGGUAGCGGCACGUUGCGGUCGCCAACGAAUUUCAUGGGGAUUGAGAAAUCAUCCAUUUCGUUGUUCAGAACGAUUCCUGUGCUCGGAGACAGCAUUAGUGCCCCAAAGAAAUAGUUCACUGUAUUAGUCAUCGAAACAGCAUUUCUAUCCUUGUCUAUUAUCGACAAAUGGCUCGUCCCGUGAUCCUGAAGCUCAUUCCAUCUACGUAUUGGAGGGGAAGGAAGAUCAAUAAUCAAUAAAUAAAUAAAUAAAUAAAAAGAAGUCAUGUGGAUUUAAUAGAUUGAAAAACUUACUUGGCACCAUAAUGUUUGGGCUUGAAGGUUCUCUCAUCGCUAAUCUUUUUCUUUAAGUCUUUUGCAAACUCUGGAGACAACAUAUCCGAAACAACUUUGGUAACAUCGACGAAAUCCGGAUCCCCAAGGUUCAUUCUAAUUGCAAAUGCAUGUUUCAGAGCCUCGACUAAUCGAUGAACACCGAGAGGGCCCGAAACACCGGAUGGAACCCCAUAUUGAGAAAGAAUAUUUAAAACCUGCAACACAAGAAAACCCCCAAAAAAGUAAACCAAAGUUUGAUGAAAUGUUAAAAUUACACCAAAAAAUAACUUGACUUACAAGCACCAUAGCAGGACCACCGGAGGAAGGAGGCGGCAUACCGAGUAACCGGAAUCCAAGAAUGUCAGUAGAUAAUGGCUCCUUAACCUUAACUUUGUAACUUUGCAAAUCUUUCAAAGUUAUUAUCCCUCCAGACUUUUGUAUAUCUCUCACCAGAUAGUCCCCAACCGUACCAUUGUAAAACGCUUUUGAACCAUAUUUACCGAUUUGCUUCAGUGUACAAGCCAAUUUUGGGUUACGGAUAAUCGUCCCUGGCUUUUUGAGCUUUCCGUUAGAAACAAAUAGCUCAGACAGACCUUUGUCUGCUAAGAUAUCAUCACUAGUUGCGUUCAUCUGCAUGUAGAGAUACUUUGAAAUCUUGAAUCCUUUAGCUGCCAGUUUCCUUGCGGGAUUAACUAAUUUCUUCCAUGGCAGUUUCCCGUGUUGUGUCCAAGCCGUGAAUAGACCCGCGACUUCACCGGGAACAGCUACUGAUAAGGCUCCUUUCUUCUUUAGGUCUUGAUUACCAUCAUACAUAUUCUACGUCAAUAACGUCAAGGAAAACGCUACUUAGCUCAGAAUCACGUUUGGAAAUAGUAUUACUCUAUAUAAUAUAUUAAUUUAUGCAUUAACUAUAUAUGGUCCAUAUGUUAUGAAAACGCUACUAAAAAGCUCAAGAUAGCGUCUUAAACGCUUAUAUAUGAGGACGAAAUGUUCAGCAAUGCUAAUUUUUUAUUUUAUUUAUAAAUAAAAGCUUUUACUCCCAUGAAUAUUCUACACCAAGAGAGCAAGAAAAAAAAUACCAAUGAUUCUGAAAACGUUGAAGGAAAACGCUUAUUUCAAAACGCAUUUUUCGUUCAGAGCAAAAGUAAAUGCAUUUGUUACUAAAACGAUGUUACCUCAGUGGCCCGUAGAGGAGCAACCUCUCUAGAGUCAUAAGCAACUUCCUUCCCUUCACUUAUCUUAACCACUGCAAACGAUCCACCGCCUAGACCGCUAGAUGCUGGACUCACAACGCCCAAACAUAGAGCAGCAGCGACCGACGCAUCAAUGGCGUUUCCUCCUUUUUUAAGAACUUUCAUCCCGAUUUCCGAACACCGUCCAUCGUCCGUUGCAACCGCGCCAUGAUACGCAACAAUACUUUGCUGUCUUUUAUGAGCCGCAGCGUUUUUCAAAAACGCGAUUAGAAAAAGAACGAUCGUUGCUGAUCGUAUUAGAGCUCUUGCUACGAUCAACGAAGGAUCAAACAAGAGACAACGUAUCAUGAUAUCAGUUGUAGCAAACAGUCAAUUAACAAACUAAUUAUGAAUAAUCAUUGGCGAUUUAUUUUUAUGUGAAUUAGAAAAACUAAGUAACUUACAAUUCAUCUGUAUUUGGCUUUCUGAAAAUUUCUCGUCCUCUUACGUCCUUUGUGACAAGAGAUUGUUCAGACGAGUAUUAAUAAGAGUAUGUGGUCAAAGUCUCAUUUGAUUAGGAGCCAUCUCUUGGAAGGUACAUAAAAAUUAACAUCUCUUAAGAAAUGGUAGAUAAAUUAUGAAUAUGUAAAUCAUUUUCCAAAAGUUCCAAUUCUUUUGAAUAUUUCUUCUUCUUCUUUUUGUCAAUGUUUUAAAUGUUUUUAGACUACAUUAAAUGCUUUUAGACUACAUAAAUGUUUUAAACGUUUUUACCAUACAUAUAAAGUUGAACAUAUAGCACAAGGUUACCAAAUUAUUGAUUGCAGUAUUAUAUGACUAGAAGAAAAUAAAUGAUGCCAAUUAUGAUUGAGAAAAAAAAUGAAUGAAUAAAAUAAGGACAAUUCUAUCAAAUAACUAUUUUUAAAUUUUUGUCACAAAAUAGCGCUCAAGAAAAAAAAUGACCAAAAUAGUUCAUUUUUAUUUUGAAAAUUUUAAUAUUUAUAUUUAUAUUUAUUUUUAAUUUGAAACCUUAUCCCCAAAAUUUCACCCCCUUAAUUCUAAAACCUAGGUCUAUAUUAGUUAAUCUUGGGGUAAAAAUACAUUUUUACUCUUUCAUUAAAUUUAUUUUGGUCAUUUUCUUCAUUAAACACUAUUUUUGUGACAAAAACUUAGAAAUAGCUAUCCUAGGAAAUUUUUCAUAAAAUAAAGAAAUGAUUUAAAUAGUUUUUAUUAAAGAGUUUAAAACACACAUAUAUAUCCUAUGAUUAAUUAAAUCUAGAAUUAUGAUUUUUUUUUGGGAGGGGUGAGUUUAAGAUUUGGUGAUUAGAGUUUAGAGUUUAUAAUUUAUGAUUUAUCGUGUAAAAAUUAAAAUAAUCAUAUUUUAAAAAUAUUUAUGUUAAAUUUAUUAUUUAUUAAUGGUAUCUUAAUCUUUUUGUUAUUUAAUAAAAGUUAUUUCAGCAUUUUUUUGAACUAUUUUGGUCAUAAAAAUUAUUUUUAGGGUUUUUUAGGUGACCUUUUUUGGUUUAAUUUUUCUGAGAUUUGCCAUAAAAUAAAGCUCUGGAGUAAUAUUACUGAAAAAAAAAUGUCAAAAAUCAUUUCGAUUCAAUAAUACAAAGGAGAAAAAAUCAAAUCCGAUCUCAAUAUCCUGAAGGGAACCCUCCUUUUCUUGGAUCACUCACAGCCACAAGCUUUCCAUCGGAUUCUUGAACUAUGAACUGAGAAAUUGUACCUCCGGCAAACGGAGUUAGGACAUGACCUUUCUUCUCCAACACAUGUCUUGUCCCUUUAGGUAUCUCGAAAUGAUCAUUGUAAGCCGUCGUCCAGUUCUCAUACUUAACACUGUUUGGUAUCAACUGGAAAUGACAAUACAUGAAUCAAGUUUUAGUUAUGGACCAAAUAACAAGAAAGUUACUGCAGAAACAAAAACCUGAUGGUAGAUUCUUGGAGCCACGACAGAAGAAAGAGGAUCCAUGUUGAGUAAAAAAUGAUUCAAGAAAACUUCCGUUGUUCCGGCGAUGAUAUACAUUCCUCCGCUUGCACCCACUGCUGCUUUAACUUUACCGUCCUACGUAAACCAACACAUAAAAAAAGCUGUCGCUUAAAAUAGUACAUAAGUAAGUGUUCCGUGUACGUAUCACAAGUUGUUCUUUUUUCUUCACACCUUGAGUACAAUGGUGGGAGUCAUGGAUGACAAAGGUCGUUUCCCAGGACGGAUGAAGUUAGCAGGUGCUGGUGGCGGCUUAUCUGAGUCAUGGAAGGACUUCAACGGAAUCGAGAAAUCGUCCAUUUCGUUGUUCAGAACGAUUCCCGUGCUAGGAGACAGCAUCAGUGCCCCAAAGAAAGCAUUUAUUGUACUAGUCAUCGAAACACAAUUCCUCUCAUGGUCUAUUAUCGAUAAGUGGCUUGUUCCAUGAUCUUUGAUCUGAUUCCACCUAAAAUUUAAAGAAGAUUAAUCAAUCAAAAAUGAAAAAAAAGAAUCUGCAUGAUUUGUUAUAAAUUAAAAAAAAAAAACUAACCUGCCACCAUAAUAUUUUGGAUCAAAGGUUUUCUUGUCGUUUAUCUUCCUCUUCAAGUCUUGUGCAAACUGUGGAGACAACAUAUCCGAAACGACUUUAGUAACGUCAACAAAAUCUGGAUCUCCAAGGUUCAUUCUAAUUGCGAAAGCAUGUUUCAGAGCCUCGACUAAACGAUGAACACCGAGAGAGCCCGAUACACCUGAUGGAACCCCAUAUUGAGAAAGAAUGUUCAAAAUCUGCAACAGAUGAAACUCCGUAUUAAAAAUUUUAGUAAACUUGAAUUUGAUAAAAUGUGAAUUUUCCACAAAACUGAACUUACAAGGACCAUAGCAGCACCACCGGAAGAAGGAGGAGGCAUCCCGAGUAAACGGUAUCCAAGAAUAUCAUUAGAUAAUGGUUCUUUAACAUUAACUCUAUAACUUUGUAGAUCUUUCAAAGUUAUUAUCCCUCCCGAUUUGAGGAUAUCGCUCACUAGGUUAACCCCAACCGUGCCAUUAUAAAACGCUUUUGGACCAUACUUUGCAAUUUGCCUCAAAGUUAAAGCCAGUUUUGGGUUUCGGCAAAGUGUUCCUGGUUUCUUAAGCUCACCAUUUGAAACAAAUAGUUUAGAGAGACCUUUGUCUGCUAGAAUAUGGUCUCUGGUUGUGUUCAUUUGCAUAUAGAGAUACUUUGUUAUCUUAAAACCUCUAUCUGCGAGUUUCUUUGCGGGACUAACUAACCGCUUCCACGGUAGCUUUCCAUGUUGUUUCCAAGCUGUGAAUAGACCAGCAACUUCCCCGGGAACUCCUACUGAUAAGGCUCCUCUCUUUUUUAGAUCAAGAUUGCCUCCAUACAUAUUCUACAUCAAGAAAAAAUACAACCAAGAAAUGUCUUUGCAUCAAACGUCAAACGCUAUAUAACUUAAAUUCAAAACGUAUAUUUGAUCAGAGACACUAGUUCAUGUUCAAUAUCAAGAUAGAAAAACAAGAUGUUUAUGACACAUAUCCAAGCUUAGUUUACAAUGAAUCAGAGGAAUGAAAAUAUUUCUUAAGGCUAUUUAAACUUUUACUUAUAUAGAAACGCCAUUAAAGCUAAAGAUAGCGUUAAAACACUUCUUUAAAAGGAAGAUAUAAGUUGAAAAUAAAAUAAAAACACUUGUUGAAUAGCAUAAAAACGUUACGAAGAUUUAAGAUCGUGCUCAAAAUUUUUUAAUAAGAAGAAAAUAUAUUAAAAAAACUCUCGCGUUCAACAAUUAUUAAAGCGCACAAAAUGCUCUUACCCACAUAAAUGUUCAAUACCAAGACCAAAAACAUAUGUAUAUCGUAUGUGAUUCAAAAAUGUUAAUGAAGAAAUGUUUAUUUCAAAACGCACAUUACUAAAACAACGUUACCUCAGUGGCACGGAGAGGAGCAGUUUCUCUAGAAUCAUAAGCUACUUCCUUGCCACUAGCCAUCUUAACCACUAUAAACGAUCCACCGCCUAUACCGCUAGAAGCUGGACUCACAACGCCCAAACAUAAAGCAGCGGCCACAGAAGCAUCAAUAGCGUUUCCUCCUUGACGAAGAACUUUCAUUCCUAUUUUAGAACACCGUCCAUCGUCUGUUGCGACUGCACCAUGAUACUUUACAAUACUGUGCGGUCUUUUCUUAGCCGCAGCAAUUUGCAGAAACGCGAUUAUGAGAAUAGCGAUCGUCCCUGCUCGAACAAGCCACAUUGCUACCACUGAUGAAGAAUAAAAAAAAAAGAUUAAACACCGAUGACACAAAAAAAAUUGAUGAUCUUAGGUUCGUUUACAUAGAGAGUAAUUAAAGAUGAAAGGAACUUUUUUUAUAUCAAGAACCAUACAACUUACAAGGUAUUUAUACACAAAGUUAGAACCUAUUCUCAACCAGAAUCAAAAGUUAUCUGUAUACGUAAUAUGCUACACUUAUAACAACUUGCUAUUAUCCCCCUGUCACUAGUAGUUUUACAUUGAAUUUGAACAAUGUUUGACCUUUCCAAUAAAUAGAAAAUUAAAUGAGUCAAUUACUGAAAAUGUUGAAUACCUUACCUUUUCUAUGAUAUUUACCUUUAGAAAAAAAGAUUAUUUACCUUUAGAAAAAGGUAUAAACGUUGAAUACCCUUUCUGAAAAAGAUUAUUUACCUUUAGAACAUAUUCAAUGCACAUUUCUAUAUUUUCUUCUCCAAUAUAUGCAUCUAUAGUACAAUUCAUCUAUUUAUAGAAUAAGAUACAAUUCAUCUAUUUAUAUGUUGUUUUGCCUCUACUUUUAGAGAUAAAAUAAUAUUUCUCAAUAUUUUCUCCUAAAAAUAGAGAAAUUAUAUUAUAAAAGCAUAUAUUGGAGCAGAUCCAUGGCCUUAAUAGAGUUUUUAUGUUUUAAAAGAAAAUAUAAAGAGAAAUAUAAAAGUGGAUUGAAGAUGGUCUUAGAAUCAUUUUAAAAAAAAUACUGAAAAUGUUUAAUUAACCAAAAAAAACUCUAUACUAAUUACAUUUGAUUCCCAAGAAGAAGAAAAACUUAACACAUUCGGUUGACUAAUGAAUUAAUCAGUCUAAAAAUAUAUUUAGAUUUGUUAUUUUUUCUUUUACAUAAAGGAUAACGAAAAAAAUAUUAAAAAUAUAUCCAACAUUACAUUUUACUCUUUACAAUGACUAAACAGUUAAAUCUUUAGUCACUUUCUCGUGUCCUGCUCGAUCCAGUUGAGUUCAUUCUUGCUCGAUCGAACCAGGUAGUCUUGACCCGAAAACUUCAAGAGCUUCCAAGAAGAAUCUCUUGUUAGGUACAAUUCCAUCUUUCUCCAUCUUUUCCAUCAGCAUCUGCACAUGCUCCUUCAUAUCUGCCUUAGUAUACUCCUUAUAUGAAGCUGACAGAGGACGCUGAGAUUGUCUUCGUAGCUAACGUUCUCACAGAUACAAACAAAUAUAUUUGAGGGCGUAUUAAGAAAGAACCUACUGGUGUUGUCUUUCUCAUUUUGUUUGCAGUUUGUAUUCGUGGUACUUUUUCCUUUAGAUUGAAUCAAUGACAAAAAAAAAAAAAAAGCCAGAAAACAAUGGGGGCUGUUUAUGUAAAGAAGUAAAAAAGUUAAGGAUCAUUUUCGGGAGUUUUGAACCCGACGUGAAUCGAACACGCAACCUUCUGAUCUGGAGUCAGACGCGCUACCAUUGCGCCACGGAUCCUGAUGCUUAAAUAACUUAAUAUAUUGUAAUUAUUUCAUAACUGUAUAGGAUCAACCAUUAUUAACCACUAUUUAAAAACAUAAACAAGCUUUAAAAAUGGAAAAAAUUGACAAAGAAAAUAAAUGUCUUGUGACUUUUAGGGGAAUACAAUUUGACAUUGCUUUUGCUUAUAAACAUCAGUACCCACUUUCUUGUAGAUAAUUAAGCUUGUUUUGUAACCGUCUCUUUGAUCCCAAACUCUUUAUGCUACAGUUUGAUGAAUGAAUGAAUGAUUAGACAAGCAAGUAACAAGUAUAGUUUUUGUCGUCGUCUACCCCUUUUAUUUAUACGCGACUAUGAUGAAUGAAAUGUCUCUGAGAUUUCACCUCUUAACUUUUGCAGUGACUUGUAGAGGACUUGGCUUACUCUGUCUCUGACAGGCGACUGAGAGAAUAUCUUUCAUAACACUUGCAUAGAAGGCUACCGUACUCCUUACACUCAUGAUAAAAAGAAAAGAAAUGACUAAAAAACAAUGGCGUGUUGAUCAAGUUUUGCAGAAAAAAGAAUGGAUUCACUGACCACAAGUAUUGUGAACCAACAAAGAAAUUGCCAAAACUAGGAUCCUCUGUUUCAUUCCAUAACGGGACCUGCAGUUUGACAAGAUACUUGUGGUCAGUGGACUUUGUCAACUCACUUUUUAUUUUCCUUCUCAACCAAACCUCUAUAUUUCAAUCUUUUUAGUUCCUUGGGGAAUUUCAUUUGAUCUAAAUGCACAAAAACAUAUGGGGAGAGGGUAUUAUUAUUAUUUUUUCUAGUUUAAGAUUAUCUUCUUUUUUUUUUUAAUUUAUCAUACAAACACAGUUAUUAAGAAAAAAAUUCACCAUCUUCUUUCCCUUCAUUUCCUCUGACUUGGUGGUGAUCUUGAUUUUGCAACCUUUGACUUACUGCGUCCUGUGGCAAUCUUCCUCCCUUAGGUCAACUUUU